GUUCUUGGGCAAUGGCGAACAAUGGCAUCUUCCAAGUGAUCAUUGUUUUUCUCAUGGCGCAAGUCUGCUUGCUCAUGAUAAUGGCAGCACCGGUAGCACAUGCAGCUGCUAGACCGGUGGGGUACAAUCCAGUGUGCUGCCCUAGGAACAUCUAUUGUUGCGGGUUCGCUAGCGGAUUGGCCAAUUCACCCGCACCAUCCAUUGUAUCUUGAUGUGUGGCUUUAUUCUCCCCCAAGUAGUAAGCUUAACAUAUAAAUGAUAUAUGUGGUUCAUGUGUUACCUAAUCCUAAAUUUUUGUGAUGCUACUUUCAAGAAGUUAUUGUACUAGUUACUUACAUAAUUAAAUGGGAGGAGAUUAUUAUAUAUCUUGUUCGGAAUAUAGCGCAAAGAGACUAGCUUAUGUUUACUUUAGUCCUUUUGAAAACCAGAUUAUUUUGCCGCAUUGAUUUAAGAAGAAGAAAAAAUAGUGGCCAAGCAUACACGUUGACCUGAUGAGUCUGUAGUGCGUUCCUUUGGGAAUCUCUGUUUUAUCAUUCUGUUGGUCGUACAUUGUGUCAAGAUCGUCCGUGUCAUGGCGACAUGCUUUAUUUUCGCAGAGAACAUAAUUUUUUAAAGCAUUUAUGGGGUAAUGGAGUAUAUCGCCAAUUAGUAGAAACCAACUACUAUUGACAGGCUUGUUUGUGAAUUCAGGGAUGCACAAUGUUUCGUUUUGCAUGAAUGCCAAGGUCAUGUAUUAAAAUGGUCUCGUCCCCGACGGCGGUAGAUCCGGGCCAGGAUCAAAGCAGGUGCCAAGGACUUGAUUGCUUUUUAGUUUCGUCCUUUGGGGUCCUAUUUGCAAAGUUUCUCACCUGGACUGUAAUUUCUACUUUCUGUUGGGUCCUUUUGUAAAAUGUUGCAUGCUUAUCUAAUUUAACUCUGGGCUCUUCCCGAGUUCAAAAAAAAUUAAAAUGGUCCAACCCUUACAACACCAUCCUUCCAAAAGCAUAAAAUAAAACACAUACCCUCGUGUAUAUCAACGACGUCUUUCUCCCGCACUUGCACCUCAUUGGCAAAGCUCGAUAUUGCAUUUGGAUAUCCAAAACACCCUCAGAGCCAGGGUAAACCACUCUCUGCGUGUGCUCAAUUCCUCAGAAAACAAUCAAAAAAUCAUAUAUGAAUACAACUCUUUGCUCUUUGACGGAACACAGAAGGAUUGUUUGUUGUGGAUCCUAUAUGUGUAAUCUAUCUAUCUAUACUAUACCAAUUAAAGAGUUCUCAGAAACUCCAACGAUUAAUCAAAAAUUACGAACCAUUCAUCUGGUGGGACCGAGUUUGGCACAAGGUCUGGCCAAGAACUGGAAAAGGGAAGGGAAAUGGACGGAAACUAAAGUGAAGGUAGAGGAUCAGUAGACAAAGAGAACUGAAGGCCCUGUCCUGAGCUACCCACUAAGCUUAGGCGGUUUCGAUAGUAGAUGCAGUUUUUUUAUUACCAACCGCCUCCAAUACUUACUGCAAGCGGUUAUGCUGUUCUAACCGCCUCCGGUGUACAUAUUACACGCGACGUCGUUCUAUUUGAUCACAAUCACUUGUGGAGGCUGCUUCUAAUGCCCGUUUUCUAUUAGUAGAUGUUGGUUUCGUGCGUCAACUUGUGAUGAUUGCUUUGUUUAUGGCCGCCUUCGGUGAAGUCAAAGUCGCUGGAUCUAGGGCGAUAAGUGAUGAUGAUGGUUGCUCUUUCCGGUUGUGUCUGGAGUACGUCUACGUUGGUAGCUAGAUUGGCCGCUGCCAUGUGUAUUGUUAUGUUCCAUGAUGAUAGUCUGUUGGGUGUAUUGUUACGGUUUUUGCCAAUUUUCCUGCAUUAAUACGGGGAAAAUCUUCUGUCUCGUUUUUUUAAUUUUUGCAAAUUAACUAACUAGUAUCAUGUAAUACGGGGAAUGACGCCAGCCAAACAAACAAAGGUUUUGCACCGAACCACUUGCGGAAUUGGCCUGAUUGCGGUGAGCACCCGCCACACACAAACAGAGUGCAUGCGGACUGACACUACACUCACACACAUUCUCCUACCUACGUGUUUAAGUAGACUACGAUGACGACGCCAAGGGCAGCACGCUGACCGCGCUAGUUUUUUUUAAUGUUUAAGUAGACUUUGGCCGACAGUUGACCGGUCAUUAAUGUUCAAUUAUGUUUAUUUCGGCCGCGUGGUUUCGGAACUUCUGCUUUCUUUUUGACACGGGUGAAAAUGGGUCGGCCAUCCGUCAGAUGCACCAGCCGACUUAAGCCAGAAAGCGGACGCGUCCAUCUGCUCGAUUAAUCCAAACGGACAAAAGGCGGAUAAAACACACAUCCUUGGCUGUGCGCGUUGGAAUUGCCCUAACGUACUCCGGUGAAGGACGCCAGCCAAACAAACAAUGGUUUUGCGCCGAACCACUGGCGGAAUUGGCCUGAUUGCCGACGCGGCUAGCCGAGCUAGCUAGGCCGAAAACAGGGCGCACCCGCCCACACAGAAACGGAGUGCACACUGACUGACACUGUACUCACGCACAUGCUCCUACCUACGGUACGUGUUAUCCUAAGAUGCGCUGCCAACCCCGAUGGAUCGAUCGAUGCCUCCUCUUUAUCCUGUGCAGAGUGUAGUGGAGCGCCCGCCCGUCACGUGCUCCGCUUUCCAUAAGACGAACGACAACGAGCCGCCGCCACCUGUUCUCUGCCGCAGCGCCGGCCAUCCCGCCCGCCCGCCGCUCGUCUCAAAACCGCGGUCUCGCUUCCCACCGAAUCAAAUCGCCUUUCUCCCCGCCCGCUGGUUGCGCGGUUUCCUGCAACCUAUAAAAAUUCAGCCGGAGAACCGCACCUGUCCAUCCAUCUCAUCUCACCUCACUCACACUACUACUGAUAUCAGCUAGGAGUACUCGAGUUCACUAGCUACCAGUUCGCUUCCUUCCUUCGGCACCAGACUCUCUCCCACGAAGAUGCCUACGGUGACCCGUGCCUACCUCGACCAGAGGCUCGCCGUCGCCAACCGCUGCUCCAAAGGUAACCAAAACCAAGCGGUUCUCCAGGCCACAUUGCAGCUUUACGUACUGUCUCUUGCUGAAACUUUGGUCGUCACUAACACAUGUCUGCGUUGAUCUGGAACUGCAGAGGCUGCCAUGGCUGGAGCCAAGGCCGCGGCCGUCGCCACCGUCGCUGCCGCAGUCCCCACUGUAAGUACACGUUUCUCAUCCGGCACGGCUGUCUUGCAAACAUACAACAAUCAUGCAUCUCAGUCUCACCGUCUUCUUCUUCCGAGCCUUUCUCUGCAGCUGGCGAGCGUGAGGAUGCUGCCGUGGGCGAGAGCGCACCUGAACCCCACCGGGCAGGCCCUCAUCAUCUCCACCGUCGCCGGGAUGGCCUACUUCAUCGUGGCCGACAAGACCAUCCUCUCCAUGGCCAGGAAGCACUCCUUCCAGAACGCGCCGGACCACCUCAAGAACACCUCCUUCCACUGAUUAGGCAGUAGAUCCUGUAGUAUAAUGUCUGCUGAAUCCACCAUGGGUAGUGCGCAAUAAACUUCACGCCGACCCGUACGGCCGUACGUGUCUGCUGAAUGAUACAGUAGUAUAAUGUUCAGCGAGAGAGGCGAGGCGAUGCAGAUCAGGCCUUGCGCUUCUAUCCGUGCAAGCACUUAUCGGAUGAUGAAGUUACCAUGUAACCCAGCCAGUAUUUUCUUGAAUUAAUGAAUACCAGUAUUUGUACAAUUCUGGUUCAUCUGCCAUCACUACUCAUCUUACAUGUGCCAGAGCAUGCAAAAAAGACUAAGCUAAGGGCAUCUCCAACGCCGGCCCCUAAAAGAAUAUAUUUGUACAAGUCUGGUUCAUCUGCCAUCACUCAUCUUACAUGUGCUAGAGCAUGAAAAAAGAGCCAACUAAUUAAUGGUAUCUCCAACGCCGGCCCCUAAAAGGGACACAAUAUCCGUUUACGAGCCGGCCAUCCAACGCUAAUCCAUUAAACGUCCAGACACAUUUCAAAUAGACUUUAAACAAACUAGAUAAGUUUAUACAAACCGAACGAUUUUCAUUCAAACUGGAUGAAAUUCAUUACAUUUUAGAUACAUUUCAACUAAACAAAAGCAAAUAACACUUUUUAACCCAGUCUAAAUAUUCGUCAGUCCUGGAGGCCUCCGUGUUCCACAUGAUGUCUUUACCAUGUCUGGCAAGUUCAAUGGCCGCAAACUAUUGUGAAGUGAAGUUGUCGGAGGGGAAGAAUAUGACAUGGGACACGAGACUUGCCCACAUCUGUGUCCCACCUCCUACUCUUCCCGGCCAGAGUUCAUCCUGUGGACGUUGCCGGACAUGGAUGGAUCGGCCUCGUGGCCGUUGCGGUUGGGCACUAACUGUGCUAGCGGCGCGAUCAACGCGGAACUGGCGAUGUCCGUGAUUUUUGUGCCUCCUCUUCGUCCGCCUCCACCUCGAUCUCUGUGAGCAGGGCGUUAGUCUCCUCCUGCUAGACGCACUGCUGCCAUCGCUCGCGAGGGAUGUCGUGAACUGCGGCCAACGACCAUGAGGCUUGUCCACCCGGCAUUUCCGACAUGGAGGUUGUCUCAUCUCCAACGACAAGUAAAACUAGGAUAGUUUGAUCUAUGUAUGAUAUAGUAGGUGGUUUAAUUUUACGUUCCAUCAUGGAGUAUCAAAAAAGUCGAGGGUGAGAUUUGAGGUUUGUGGUUGCAGCGAGAGAUAAAUGAAGGGUGAGCGGGCUCUGUCCGCAGAUACGUCCGGAUGCAUUUGCGAACAUAUGGGGUCACUUUUGAAAUAUGCAGCUGUAGAUGUUGUAACAUUACCAAGAUUUCAACGGAAUUGAAUCGGGAUGCCUUUUUGUGUGGAAAAAUAUGCAGCUGUAGUUUCCUACCUCUUCAUCAUUUUUUUGCAGGAAAGGCUGAAAUAAAUCCAGAAAAAUGCAAACACUAAUGUCAAAUCUAUAAUUUGAAUCUUGGUGGGCUGGGAUACCACCGUCCUCCAAAUAACCACAGGUUCGUUCGCUUCUGCCUCUUCAUCUUAACGAUGCACACAUCCAUACUUAUAUUUACUAUGAACAAUUGUGAGUAGGAGUAAUAAAAUUCAGUACACAUCAAUCAGUGGAGGGAGAAAAAAGCCACAAGCUGUGUAGGCAAACAUGCCUACACAAAAAGCAUAAUAUUGGAUCAUCUAUCCUACGUGAAAUGUUAUGUUAUUUUUAAACAGAGAUAAAAGAUAUGCCUCAUGUAUUAGGGAAGAAAAGAAAGAUGGGAGGGGCGUUUUGGCUACCGCUCCCAAUGAACUGUACUGCAAAAAAGUUGUAAAACAUAUUAGAAAAACAUUGAUUUUUUUGUUGAUGUUCGUGUUAGCGUCACAAGCAUGCUUGACAAUUUUCAUGCCAAACGGAGCAGUAGUGUUUCGUUAGAGAAAAAAAAUAUUUAUUGUGUUUUUUUUUUUUGCACAAGCCAAAAUGUUUGGCCUUUUGCCCAAAACUUUGCAGGUAACAUUGGGAUGUGACUAUAAAUACAUGAAAUAUAUUUGUUGGUAUUUUUUUUUGACAUUUCAAAAAAUAUUUUUCACACGCAGAAGCACGUGCUCCCGAGAGUCAAAUUGGAUUUCUAGAGAAUGACUCUAAAAAAAGUAAAAAGAGAAUAGAUCAUGUGUUACAAGCCCCAAAUUAGAAUAAGAUUACUCUCAAGCCCCAAAUCUGCGUGACUUUCUAUAUGACUUCACCCUUAUAGAUCGUAAAAGAUGUUAGUCAAAUAUUAAAACAGGCGAUCUAAUUAUUUCCCUAGAAAAAAAGUGCUCAACUUUAUCCAAGAGCAUAUACGUAUACGCCCUUGGGACCAAAAUAUAAGAUGUUUUUGCUGUUUAAAUGAACUACUAAAAACAUCUUCCCUUCAUGAAGGCGUUGCUGUUGAGAACCUCGUUGUCCUUGUGGUGUCAUGAGAUGAUUGGUGAUGAUAUGAUUACUAUUUUAGAUUGUCGCUCGCGGAUUUGAUCUUUUUGGAUUUUUUUUUCUUGCUUGGGCAUUGCCUUGGUCUUAUAUGACUUUGUAUUUGCCGGCCGUUUUUUUUUUGUGUGUGAAUGUUGGUGUUCACAGUGUGCAUCUUAACUAUGCAUAGGCCGGAUGUGUGCUCAUUUUUAUGGAAUUCACUUGAUGCUUUAUUUUGUAUAAUAAAAUCCACCCUUCACAAAAAAAAAGCACUAUGCUCGGGCCGACCCCGCCAAACAAAGGAUCUGUACCGAGGUGCUCUCGGAAUUGGAUCGCCGACGGGUUGCUGGGAGCGCCCAGACCACACACAUCGCCAACAAAACGGAGUGCUAUAACGCUGACUGACACUGCACUCACGCACAUGCUCCUACGUCUACGUGUUAACCUACGCGCCGCCCGCCGGCACCAGUACCAAAACCACGGUCUGGUCGUCUUCCUGCCCGGCCGCACGCCGGUUGCGCGGUUUCCUGCAACCUAUAAAUCCGGCCGGACCACCUUGCUCUGCCCAUCUCUUCUCACUCACAUCCACGCUCCACUGACACGCUAGCUACUUCGCUUCCUUUGGAUCUCCUGCCAGGCUGCCACAAAUCUCUCCCGCGAAGAUGUCGACGGUGACCCCUGCCUACCUCGACCAGAGGCUCGCCGCAGCCAAGCGCUGCUCCAGAGGUAACAGUUCCGGCCUCAGCCCAGCAUCUGCUCUGCUCGUAUACAGGGCCGGCCCUGAGGGAGGGCAGGAAGGGCGGCCGCCACGGGCCCCCACCUUACAGGGGCCCCCACGCCUAGUAUGCAUGCAUUCGGCCGGUAGCCCAUGGCCUAAUUUUUCGCUGCUGCGACAUGCGAUUGCCAGCCUGUAUGGGAAUCGCAUAGUAAAGGGCACAUGUUACGGGAGCCCGGGAGCAAUCUACGGUCGUUCUUUCAUCUUCUUUUGCUCGUUUCCUAAAAUUUUCCUUCGCGAUGCAACUACGCGACCACGAUCUAUCUGUACGCGACGAAAGCGGCAAUCGGCGGCGGCUAUGGUGCAGAGAUCGGAGAGUUUCGGCCAACGCAGAGAUUGUUACUCUGGUGCUCCGGCUUGGCGCCUCUUUGUGUGAUCUGAUCGCUUCUCUAAUGCUGCGCCUAGAGCUCUAGGGAAUUCCUUCUUGGAUCCAACCAGGGCAUCAAUCGAUCACCAGUUAACCACUUCUUGUCUUGCCGGACGGAACCUUUGUACGUACACGGGUAAUACCAUCAAUCACUAAUUAGUUAUCUAUAUAGGUCAAUUAUAUUAAAAUAUUUCAUUAUAAUUGGUUUGUGGAUCUUCUGUGUUUUUUGGAUUUCAGAACUAUGGAAAGGAUUUGUGGAUGAGUUGAUAAAAUCACAAAGAGGAGCUAUUGAUAAUUAUUUUGAGAAUGCCAUUGACGCUUGGACGAAUAUAGAGUUUGUGACAGUAGCUAUGGAUGGGCGAGCUAAUGGAAUACAGGGAGAAAAUGUGAAUGUAAGUGACCCUGAGAACACUCUUAACACAUUGGAUGCACGGCACAGUCCGCCAGUUAAUUUUAUGUUAACUUUGCAUCACAUGUUGCUGUGCAUCGAGGGAUGUAGAAUUAUAUUAAGGUAAUAUGUACAGGUUACGUGACAUAAAUAAUACUUUUAGAUGCAUUCAAGUGUUAACAGGUAACAGUCCAAUAUAUAACAGAAAUAGCCAAUGUGUCUUUGGUCCCAUUGCACCCGAACUGAAUUUUAUAUCUUAGAAGUAAUGAGAAGAGUAAAAAGAAAGUGAAACUUUUAUUUUAACAAAGAUGCCUUCGCGUAGUACUAUAUAAAUGCAUGAAAAGUUUCGCCAAGGAAUGACUACCAUGGUAUCCUGGACAAAAAGACAAAAUUGAUAGUACUCUAUAAAUGUUACCAUUCACAUUUUUUGGGCCUGCAAUUAUUUUCGCUGAGAAUACCAUGAGAGUCAUUUCUGCCCAAAACUUUUUGACUCCUUUAGUUUUCUAAUAAAUUUUUACAAUUCUGGUGCAUUUGCCCUAUGUUUGAAAUAUCCGCAUCCUAUAUAUAUAAUGAUCGCUAUUGUUAUGGUGUUUGUAUUAAGGGCCCCGAAUUUUAGUUUUGCUCCGGGCCCCCAAAAUCUUAGGACCGGCCCUGCUCGUAUAUCCCACCCAUUGCAGCCUAUGCGUCUGCUGAAACUUGACCUGGAUUAACAUUCCUGCGUUGAUCCGAAACUGCAGAGGCUGCCAUGGCCGGAGCCAGGGCCGCGGCCGCAGUACCCACCCUAAGUAGCCAGCUAGCCAUUCAGUUACAGAGUUCAUAGCACAUAUCUCAUGAAUGCGUUACCUGUCAUUUCAGCUGGCGAGCGUGAGGAUGCUGCCGUGGGCGAGGGCGCACCUCAACCCCACCGGGCAGGCCCUCAUCAUCUCCACCGUCGCCGGGAUGGCCUACUUCAUCGUCGCCGACAAGACCAUCCUCUCCAUGGCCAGGAAGCACUCCUUCGACGACGCGCCGGACCACCUCAAGAACACAUCCUUCCACUAAUUAUACUAUAAUAGUAGAUCCAUUAGUAGUGCGUAAUAAACCGUGUACGCCGGUCGCCGAAAAAUAGUACUAUAAUGUUCAGCGAGAGGGGCGAUCAGGCGAGGUGAUGGUAUAAUUAUCUGAUGAUGUACUUAUGUAAUAAUGUGGGCAUGUUCUCCAUCUUGUCAUCUUUCCAGGGAUCGUAAAUUAAUAACCAGCUCUUGUACAACUUUGCUUCAAGUACACUCACUCAUGACCCAUCUCACCUUUUUCUUGUUUGCGAUUACAGUUUGACACGCGUCAGAGCAUUGCAAAAGACCGAGAUAACACUAGACUACUAUCGUCUGUUCUGUCGCGAAACGCCACCUGACCUCACACUCUAAAUCUUUUGAGACAGUUUAUUGGAUGCCUUGGCAAAUAAGGAUGGAAAAUUUAGCAGUUUUGAAACUAGCUUUCUGUACUAGUGGAGCCCCCCUGUUUAGGUUGGAGGUGUUUCUCGAGACCGGAGACGCCUCGACAUUUUACAGGUGACUUGGUUCUAUUUGAUCACAACCGCUUGCGGAGGCUGUUUCUAAUGCCCGUUUACCCGUUUUCUAUUAGUAGAUGUUGGUUUCGUGCAUCAACUUGUGAUGAUUGCUUUGUUCACGGCCGCCUUCGGUGAAGUUGGAGUCACUGGAUCUAGUGCGAUAGGUGAUGAUGAUGACGCCUGUGUGCAGCCAUGCAUGGCGGAUGAAGUCUUCUCGGUUGUAUUUGGAGUCUACGUCGGUAGCCAGAUCGGCCGCUGCCAUAUGUAUUGUCAUGUUCCAUGAUGAUAGUUUUUAGGUGUGUUGUUACGGUUUUUGCCCAAUUUUCUGGACAAUUUUUUUCUUAAUUAUUGAAAAUGAUAGAUAUUUUGUCUUGUUUAUCUUUUUUUUGCAAAUCAACAAUUUUUUUUGCAAAUCAACUAACUAGUACUCCCUCCGUAAACUAAUAUAAGAGCGUUUAGAAUAUUAAUUUAGUUAUCUAUAAAUAUUCUUAUAUUGGUUUAUAGAGGGAGUACCAGGGAGUAUCAUGUACUCUGGGGAACUACGGCAACCAACCAAACAAAGGUUUUGCACCGCACUUCGGGUUCGCUGGGAGUGGCUCAGAAGAACGGAUCCCAGCCGGCCGUGGCAAGGCCUGCAUCUCAUAAUCGAUAAGGAAGCAAAGGCAGUGUUUGACAGCAUGGUGCUCAUUAGAGUUGGCGAGGGCUCAAAGAUUCUUUUCUGGACCGACAGGUGGAUACACGGAUUUUCCAUCAGGGACAUCGCUCCCCUGCUCGCGGCCAUGGUCGAUAAGCGUACCAAAAGCAGACGAACCGUCCAGCAGGCUCUCCUCCAUGGUGCUUGGAUGCUAGACAUCGAAGGCCAACUCUCAUUCAUUGCCCAUAUUCAACUCGUUCACCUUCAGCAGGCGAUCGCUUCGGUGGUUAGGAAUGAGGCGGAACCUGAUGAUUUCAUCUGGCCGUGUGAUGACACCGGAUCCUACUCGGCAAAGUCCACCUACAAGAGGCUCUGCUUUGGCCUAACACGCUCUGCCACCGCUACACAAAUAUGGAGAAGGUGGGGCCACUCAAAUGUAAAAUUUUCGCCUGGCUGACCUCGCAAUAUCGACUGUGGACCUCGGAUCGCAGAGCAAGACACGGACUGCAAGAGACCACUUCGCCUUGCUUCACGUGCGAUCAGGAAGAGGACAAUGUGGACCACAUUCUGGCCCAGUGCGUCUACGCGAGACAAGUUUGGCACGAAUGCUUCGAGGCCCUACAAGCAAACAUUCAGAUCCCAAGCCAAGACGAUUCAUUCAUGGCAUGGUGGGAGAGGGCGUGUGCCUCCUUUCAUGGGAAGAUCAAGAGAGGUUUCGACUCCUUUGUUAUCGCUUCCGCAUGGCACCUCUGGAAGCAAAGGAACGCUAGGGUGUUCCAUAGAGACGACCAAGUGAGACCAGCCACUAGUUUAGUGCAUACUAUCCUUGAUGAGAUAAAGCAAUGGAAUUGAAAUCGGCGGGAGUAGGAGUUGAGGGUCUGGAUAGGUUUGUAAGAGAGCAGGCUUUAGGUUUCUUUGUGUGGAGUUGGAGUCCAUUCUUGUAAUCAACUUUUCUGCCUUCUAGAAAAAUACGGUGCGCUUUUGGCGUACUCUAGGAAAAAAAAGGUUUUGCAGCCAACCACUGGCGGAGUUGGCCUGAUUGCCGACGCGGCGAACCGAGCUAGCUAGGCCGGAAACUGGGAGCGCCCGCCCAAACAAAAACGGGGUGCACGCUGACUGACACGGCACUCACGCCCAUGCUCCUACGCUGACAGACCUGCCAACCCUGAUGGAUCGAUCGAUGCCUCCUCUUAUCCUGUGCAGAGUGUAGUGGAGCGCCCGCCCAUCACGUGCUCCGCUUUCUAUAAGACGAACGCCAACGAGCCGCCGCCACCUGUGCUCUGCCGCAGCGCCGGCCAUCCCGCCCGCCCGCCGCUCGUCUCAAAACCGCGGUCUCGCUUCCCACCGUAUCGUCUCCCUCUCUGCUCGCUGGUUGCGCGGUUUCCUGCAACCUAUAAAUCCAGCCGGAGAGCCGCACCUGUCUAUCCAUCUCAUCUCACCUCACUCACACUACUACUACUACUACGGAUCUCAGCUAGCAGUACUCGAGUUCACUAGCUACUAGUUCACUUUCUUCAGCACCAAGUCAAGAUGCCUACCUCGACCAGAGGCUCGUCGCCGCCAAGCGCUGCUCCAAAGGUAACGAAAAUGAUAUCAUGCCGCGCCGGUCCUCAAGGGCACAUUGCAGCUUUCUGUACCGUCUCUUAUGAAACUUGAUCGUAACCAACAUGUCUCUGUUGAUCCGGAACUGCAGAGGCUGCCAUGGCGGGAGCCAAGGCCGCGGCCGUCGCCACCAUCGCAGCCGCCAUCCCCACUGUAAGUACGCGUUUCUCAGCCGGCGCAGCUAGUUGCAAGGGCCAACAAUCAUGCAUCUCACCGUCUUCUUCCUCCGUGGCUUUCUCUGCAGCUGGCGAGCGCGAGGAUGCUGCCGUGGGCGAGGGCGCACCUGAACCCGACCGGGCAGGCGCUCAUCAUCUCCACCGUCGCCGGGAUGGCCUACUUCAUCGUCGCCGACAAGACCAUCCUCUCCAUGGCCAGGAAGCACUCGUACGAGACGGCGCCAGAGCACCUCAAGAACACCUCCUUCCACUAAUUAGACACUUGAUUGGUUCAAAAAAACUAAUUAGACACUUGAUUAGCCAGUGCCCAAUAAACUGUGUACGCUGGCCCGUGGAAACGUGUGUUCUGAAACGUAUGAUGUUCAGCGACAGGGCCAGCAGGCGAGGCGACGAUGGUUGCAGUGCUGAAAGGUGGUGUACAGCCCUUCAAUUUGUGCGAGCAAGCACUAAUAAUGUGGCCAUGUUCUCCAUCUUACUACUAGUACCUUCCCGGAGAUCUUGAAUUAAUAAAAACUACUAGUUCUAAUUUUGUACAACUCUGGUUCAAGUGCACUCACUCAUCUUACCCUUUUUCUUGUUUGCGAUUAUCAUUUAACACGCGUCAGUGCAUUGCAAAAGACCGAUAACAGUGACCCCCCUACUCCUGCUCUGUUGUGUUCCGAAAUGCACGUGAGCAUCAUGCCACCUCACACGUUGAAUCUUCUGGUAUGGUUUAAUGGAUGGGUUGGCAAGUAAGGAUGUUUCUGAAAAAUGAAAAAAUUAGCUAUUUUGGGACAAGCUUUUGUACUAGUGGAGGACCCCCGUGUGUAGGUUUGAGGUGUUUGUCCGCAGAGACCGGGGCACCUCGACAUUUUUCUUGGUCGUGAGUCAAAUAAAAUGUAUUCAUACCGCAUCCGCGUGUAAGUGUGCAUUGUAAAUACUCUCUCUGGUCCUUUUUUAUUGUGCAUAUACGAUUGUUUUUUCCAAAGUCAAACUUCGUAAAGUUUGACCAACUUUAUAAAAAAAAAUCAAUAUUCACACUUCGAAAUCAAUAUCAUUAGGUGUGUUAUGAAUAUAAUUUUUAUAUUGUAUAACUUUAAUAUCGUAGAUGUUAAUAUUUUUCCAUAUAAAUUUGAUCAAAGUCGACGAGCUUACCAUUCGGCGAGUUGAUCUUGUGGACGACCCCCUUCUCUGGAUCCUCCACCUCCGUCAGCUCCGACAACUCUUCAUACAGGUCCAUGCGGUGGCAGACAGCAAAAAGCACGGGAAUUGAGCAGAGAGGGUGAGGAAAGCGCGGGUUUUGGCGUGAAAACGGUGCGAGCCUCUCCAAAUGCGCGGGCUCCGCCAUGAUUUUGGGUGGGCAAAUUGCAGGGGCGGACACAGAAAUGAUGUGGAGUGGGGGCAAAUAAUAGGAGCGGGGGCACUUAAUGUACAAAUGUGAAGAAUUUCAAAAACAAUCUUAUAGAAUACAAGGAACUUUUACUGAAAUUUCAAAAAUUGACUGGGGGCCUGGGCACCCACUCAGCACUAUGUAGGUCCGCCUCUGGCAAAUUGUGUUUGAGUCCUAUGGGGCACAUGUCUGAACUCCCGCAAAGCCCCUUGGUUUGCGUCCGAUUAGCAAGAAAACGAACACGUGGGUGCGUCUGAGGACAAAUAAGAGUCCAUGUUGAAUCUGAACGACUUGAUCCGCAUACUUGUGGUUUGUUUGAGGGUCUGGGUUGAAUGGAGUGUUGUAUGCAACAUCGGUAGGCCCAGACCAGAAAAAACGUAAGAAGUGCCGAAGCAGUUCACACAUCACACAGAGAAGGGCUAGUCCGGCCGGGGAGCAGAUGCCGCCGGUUUCGCCCGAAAACGGGGAGCGCCGCUCGCCGACCGACCGACGAUUUACGAGUGAAACUGGCGGCACCCGCUUUGUUUCGUUUUUUUAGGGCAUGGCCAAUGGGUGGCCUCAACCUGCUGCCCCGCAGGUCCAUGUAAGAUCGGAGUUAGGUUCGGACUAAAAGAUAUAGCCUCGCACUAGCAGGUGUAGCCUGCAGAAGAGCCAGCUUCUUCAGCGUGAAAAGCGAGAGAAAGAAAGAAAAAGGCAGCUCUGCUGAUGCAUGCAAGGAGAGAGAUAGAGAGAGGAAGAAAAAUACUAGGCAUGUGAAGGACGAUGGGUCCCGCUACAGCAGUGUGGCUCCGGUUGGCCAGGAUUUUUUCAAAACGGUGGUUUCCUUAUUUUUUUGAUUAGUUUAAGAGGUGAGGCACUAUCAGGGUGAUGCCCCCGUUGUACAUGCCCUUAUAUGAUGAUCGGAUCAGCACUGUUGUGCCUAACUUUAGAUUGAUCGAGAUCUCCCUUUUCUUGCUGGCUUUAGUUUGGUGGGUAAAGAAAGAAAGAAAGAAAGACGAGGGAGAACACCCUCCAACGGACAAACAUCAUCCAAUCCUGUGGAUUCCCAUACCACAGUUUUGGAUAACCGGCCCCUGCAACCUGCAUGCCGCUCCCGGAAAGCGUGCUCUGCCCACCAACGCAGUUCAUCACUCCAAGUCCAAACGAGUGAGCAGAGCAGAGCACCCACGGUUUGGAUCCCAAAACCGUGCGUGGCCGCCACCUUUUUGCCCGCUAUAAAUACUUGGCUCAACUCCUCGUCCCGGAAGCGUCAAGCAACAGCCAGCCCAUCUCAUCUCAUCUCGCUCGAUCAUCGCACUCUUCGUGCUGAGCCGUUUAUGCACAAGACCACGGCGAAGAUGUCGUCGACGGCCACCGUCACCCGCGCCCACCUCGAUAACAAGCUCGCCCUCGCCAAACGCUGCUCCAGAGGUACCUAGUAACCAGCAGGAUCCAAUUCUUCAGAGGUCAGUUCAGUUCAGCCAGGUCGUGUACUGAUAGUCUGACACUACAAAUGCAUUUCUUUUCCUAAUGUUUCCCAGAAGCGACGCUCGCCGGAGCCAAGGCGGCGGCCGUCGCCACCGUCGCGUCUGCGGUGCCCACGGUGAGCUCCUCCGUCCAACAGGAGUUGCUGAUUUUCAUGUAUAAGGAAAGCAAGAGUUUUUCUUUUGUCCGGUUUUCAUAACUGAACUGUGUAUCGUGCAGCUGGCGAGCGUGAGGAUGCUGCCAUGGGCCAAGGCGAACCUGAACCCCACCGGCCAGGCGCUCAUCGUCUGCACCGUCGCCGGGAUGGCCUACUUCGUCGCCGCUGACAAGGCCAUCCUCUCGCUGGCGAGGAGGCACUCGUACGAGAGCGCCCCCGACCACCUCAAGGACACUUCCUUCCACGGUGGCGCCGCCGCCGCAGCUCGUCCCCGUCCGCCGGCAUUCUUCAGGCCUUGAGCUAGUAUUAUCCUGCUUCUGCCGUUGGCCGUUGCGCGUAUUCUAGAAAAAAUGUAUGCGUCGUUGUCAGUGUCCCAAGAAACCGCUGCCGCAUGAAUAUCUGACGCCGAAAUGUAUGUACAUCCGUGUACUGAAUAAAACAGAGGGCUCGAUCCUGGUUUCAUAUAAGCUGUGUACGACAGACUUCAGAAGUUCAUUGCAGCUUAUGUGACUGCUGAAACUUGAUCUUGAUUAACAUUCCUACGUCGAUCCCAAACUGCAGAGGCCGCCAUGGCGGGAGCCAAGGCCGCGGCCGUCGCCACCGUCGCUGCCGCAGUCCCCAUUGUAAGUAGCCAUUCAGUUCUUCGACGAAAUCCUUGCUCGGUUCAUAGCACAUAACCCCAGCGGGCAGGCGCUCAUCAUCUCCACGGUCGCCGGGAUGGCCUACUUCGUCGUCGCCGACAAGACCAUCCUCUCCAUGGCCAGGAAGCACUCCUUCCAGGACGUGAGAGCACCUCAAGAACACCUCCUUCCACUAAGUAGCCUAUAAUAGAUCCAUUAGUAGUAGGUAAUAAACCGUGUACGCCGGUCGCCGGCCGGUCUGUAGCCCUGCAUAAUGUUCAGCGAACCACGAUCAGGUGUACUGCGCUUCCUUCUCUGCGAGCAAGCACUAAUUAUCUGAUGAUGUAUGGAAUAAUGUGGUCAUGCUUUCCAUCUUAGUAUCUUUCCAGACAUCUUUAAUUAAUACUCCCUCUGUCCCAAAAUAUAAGAACGUUUCUUAUAUUAUGGGACGGAGGGAGUAACAACUAGAAGUACUGUUUGUACUACAACUCUGGUGCAAGUGCACUCACUCAUCUCACCUUUUUUUUACCAUUUGACAUGCGUCAGAGCAUUGCAAAAGACCGAGAGAACACUAGACUAAUAGUUCAUUCUUUUGAACUCGUACUACUCUCCUCUGUUCUGUCACGAAAUGCCACCUGACCUCACACUUUAAAUCUUUUGAUACAGUUUAUUAUUGGAUGCCUUGGCAAAUAAGGAUGGAAAUUUUAGCAGUUUGGAAACAAGCUUUCUGUACUAGUGGAGCCCCCCCUGGUUAGUUUUUGAGGUGUUUCUCGAGACCGGAGACACCUGGAUAUAUUUCAUGGUCGCGAGUUAAUAUACAUUCUUAUCGCAUCCGGGUGUAAGUGUGCAUGUGAGAUAUUCCAAAAAAUGAAAACAUGUGUACAGUAUAGAAAAGUUCAUAGAGGUGGGCUUGAUUUAAGGUUGUAAAACUAUGUGCUCGUUUGAAUUUGUUAUACAUAAGGGCAUAAGGGCAUCUCCCGCGCUUUUCUUUCAAUGCACACGCCGCUUCCCGCACCGCAUCAAGGCCGGCCCGGAGCACGCGGCAGCCGACAUUGAUGUCAUGUGAUGUGAUAGGACGGAAGGGCGGCGUUGACCGACGCGACCUCUCGGGAGUCGCCGCUUCAAUGCGGACGCAUCUUCCUGACGAACCAAUUUCAGCCGCUGCACCACAUUGAAGCAGCUGACCGUCUGUUUGCAUGGCCUAGCCGUGGCUUGAUAAGCUGUGCUCCGGCGCUGUCCACAUCGCACUCACCGCAUCGCUCCGCACAUCCUCCUCCUUCCCUCCCUUCUUCCUCCACAACUCCGGCGAUGGGCAAGUCGUGGGCCUCAGUGCCGGCAGGCGGGCCGCUUCGGAGGAUCUUGGCGAUGCCGCCCACAAACCCCGGGGUUGUCGUCCUCAUCGGCGGGCAGCUUCUCGCAGAAGGCGGAGAUCAUCAUCUCCUCCGGCGACGAGGAGGACCAGUCGGCGCCGGUGUUCACCGUCAUGGAAGAGGAGUACGAUCAACAGAUGAAGGUAAUGCUCUGUCGCUCCGUCCUCCAUGUCAACGGCCCGGUGGCUCCACCGGAGACGCUCCUCCGCGUGAAGCCUGAGCCCACCUACCCCCUGCGCUCUCCCUCAUGCAACUGCGGCGUCCAGACCGGACGUCGCGUCAAGGACAAGCCCCUCUCACCGCCCCAACGCGUCAAGCAUGAGCGACUCUCUCCGCUGCCCCGCCACGUGAAGGAGGAGCAGCACUCUCCGCCGCCCCAUUGUGUCAAGGAGGAGCACCGAUCACCACCGCCCUUAUCCCGUGCGAUCACCCUGAAGGUGCGCAGUCGCAUUCGCCACUAUCUCGGUGGUGGCAACCGUUCGUCGUCCUGGAGCAUCCUAACGGCGCAGGAUUACGCCGGCAGGGAGCGACGCCGGCGGGAUAGGCACAACGCGGCGCACCGGUCUGAGUUCAUGGACUCCAAUGUUCUGCCGCCACACAACGCGGCGGACCCGGACCUGGCAUACAACUAGGUCCUGGAUCACUCCAUGACGAUGGCGAGCAAGCGCCAUCUUCGUCACCUCGACCAGGAGAUGGCCAAGUACAACGAAAAGUGGUCUCUUAGUGAGAUCGAUGUCGCCAACGCUGCCUCCUCCAAGGCCCUGUCCACAUCAUCGGUGGCCGCGGCCGCAUUGUGCACAACGGAGGAGGAAGCGGGGAGAAUCAUCCGCGAGCGUUAGGCGGCUGCCGGGAAGCCCUGCCGCGACGCCGCACCCUUCCGCCUCCCGAAGCCCGACGACGACGAUGACGGCAACGGCUCCGGUGAUGAUGCCAGAGGAGCCGCUGGCCAGCCCGGCACGGUCUAUGAGGUCACUGUGAAGUACAGGGUAGUGUAGGAUUAGGUUUUUUAUGGUUUUUAGUUCACCGUACAAAAUAUUGUCCGGUUUUAUGAAAAACUUAUCUAAGUUUAAAUGAAUAUUGUCCGGUUUGUUUGAGUUUGCAUCAAUUUGGUCAUUUUCAUUAAAAUUCAUUUGAAGUUUAAAUGGACAUAUGCGCCUAGCUUUGGAUGGUCGCCUCCUGUAUCCGUGUCCGUGAACUGGACACCCUGUUGGUAGACGGAUUCCAGAGCAAAUUUGCGGGACCACGUUGGAGAUACCCUAAGAGUAUCUAAAACCGGAGCUCCCAUAUUGUUCUAAACUUCUCAAAUUGCUUAAUCAAAUCCCACCUAGUUACUAUGGUAGCGUCUACAUGCAAUUGACAAUAAAACCGGUCACUAAUUGUCCAGCUACCAUCUGGCAGGCGUUCGGUGAGACAGGGGGACGAGCAGGGGCCUGGCCCCCUAUCCAUCGACAAUUCCUUUGGCUGCUACGAGUAAUUAGCGCUGGAUCAAGGGAAUACAUGUUGUUUCCCCCUUAACUCGAGAGCAACCAGUUAACGAGCGCUCCUUCGGGAGCCUCGUAACGAUCAGCGCCACUUGGCGCGCUCUCAGCCAUUCGCCACGUGUCGCGCUCUGGGCGCUCCCUUCGGAUUUUUUUUUUCGCACGCGUUUUCGGCUUUUUUUCGGCUUUUUUCGAUGUUUUGGUUUUCCAGCGGUCUUCCUUAGCUUUUCAAUCAAAAAAAUUUGGAAAAAAAUUUGCGUGAAAAUACGCGUUUUCUUUUUCUUUUUCCUUUCGCGAGAGGCACGGUUUUGCUUCCGCGAGAGGCACGGUUUUGCUUUCGCGAGAGUCACGGCCGUGCCUCUCGGAAAGGGAAAAAAAUGUGUUUCCGUUUUUCUUUCGUUCGCGAGAGUCACGGUUUUGCUUCCGCGAGAGGCACGGAUGUGUUUUCGCGAGAGUCAUGGCCGUGCUUCUCGGAAAGAAAAAAAACGCGUUUUCUGUUUUUUUUCUUUCGCGAGAGUCACGUUUUUGCUUCGCGAGAGGCACGGUUGUGCUUUCGCGAGAGUCAUGGCCAUGCCUCUCGAAAAGGGAAAAAACGCGUUUUCUUUUUUUUUUCCUUUCAUGAGAGUCACGGUUUUGCUUCCGCAAAAGGCACGGUUGUGCUUUCACGAGAGUCACGGCCGUGCCUCCUCGGAAACGGAAAAAAUAUGCGUUUUCUCUUUUUUCCUUCCGCGAAAGUCACGGUUUUGCUUCCGCGAGAGGCACAGUUGUGAUUUCUUGAGAGGCACGGGUGCGCCUCUUUCGAAAAGGGAAAAAACCCGUGCUCCCGGUUCGGUUUUUCCGUCCUGUUUUUUUUCGUCCAGUUAAGUUCGUCAAAACCUAUCAAUAUGGGAUCUAGUUUUGAAGAUCUCGACGCGAGGAAUCCAAUGGUGAAAGCGGUUUGAGAUUUGGACGCACGGUUUGAGAGAUAAAUUAGGACUUCAUUUGAAAAUAGUUUUUCGAUGAAGUGCUUAGGCUAAAUAGCCUCAAUAUUAGGCAUGAUGAUCUAUGGAGAUAGAUUUACCUAAUGGGGCUAAGCAAUGAAUACAUAUUGACAAGAUGCUAAAACCUUUUAGCAUUUAAAACGCCAAGGAGUGAUUCUUGCCAAAGUCACAUGGAAAGAGUUUUUGCAAGACUCGGUGUCCCAAAACACUGAUGAGUAAAAUACAUGAUGCAGAUUCCACACACUUUUGUGUUUGGAUUAAUCAUGUAUUCCAUGGUAUGUAAAACAACCAGAUAUGUCCGAUACUCCCAAGGUGUUGCGAGUAUGGAUACCAAAGUGAUCAAAUUACUGAUCAUGGGACAACAGUGAAAGAUGUCACAGAGUACUAGAGUAAGUACUGAUGACAUGGUUUUCUCGCAAGCAGAGAUCAUGAAGAGUUCGUUGUAAAAUGUUACAUCGAUAGAGUCUUCAUCUUUUCUCCAUGCGAUUUUCGAUUUAAAUUAAGGGUUUUGUGUAACACACAAUGUGGUGGCAUAGUUAGUUGGAAUUUGUUCAAACUAGUUACUGUGGCGAAUUCUAUAACAAGGGCUAAGUAUGUUGACGCUUUAGAAGCGACAAAGAAGAUGUUGAAUCAUAUAGUUCAUUCAUGAACUUAGUAUAGUUCCAAGAUGGCUUUUGACAAUGGGACACUACUGCAGGUAGUUGCUCCAUAACUCAGUCUGAGGAAUCCAGGUUCGACCUGUGAUUCACAUACAUACAAAGCCAAGUCCACACAAAAUAUGAAUUUUGUGAAAACGAGAGGACAUGCAAAGAUACACACGGAACUGAAGUCGUUAGAUCCGUUGGACAUCAGGCUAUACCACAAGCGAAGCAUAUUUACACCGGUGUGCCACAGGUGUGAAGUGCAUUAGCAUAAGCUGGAUUAUUGACUCUAGUGCAAGUGGGAGUCUGUAGGAGAUAUGCCCUAGAGGCAAUAAUAAAUGAUAUUAUUUAUCUCCGAGUUCAUAAUUAUGUUUAUGUUCCAUGCUAUAACUGCAAUGAUUCUCGAGUCUGCAAUAUCCACGAGGCUCGGAGGAAGACUCAUAUGCACGUGUGGAAUAAUAAACGGUAAGAAGUAUUCCUAGUCUGGCCUCUAAGACUAGCUCAAGUGUUGCAUGAUGAUUCUGUUUUCCUGGUCAUGGGCAUGUCUAUGCCAGCAACUUUGAGGGCACAAUGUUAAGAGAACAUUUGUGUUGAAUCGACCCGGAUUGAUGUUAUGCUAUGAGAUUCAUUCGUCACAAGUUUAUUGGUACAUAACACAGAGAUGGUUAACGUUUGCAUGAUUCCUUAGACCAUGAGAGUAUCGAGUUUCUUCAUGCUUGCUUCAUGAACUUUGGGGUUUGUUAAACGUCAUCCGUAAAUGGGUGGCUAUUACGGCGGCUUACGGGUUCAUGGAAAAGUGUGUCAAGUAACUUGAUAGCUCAAGAUUGGGAUUUGCUCCUCCGACGAUGGAGAGAUAUCUCUGGGCCCUCUCGGUGUUACGGUAUCCAUCAUCGUCUGGCCAGACACUUUGUGAUUUGAUCAUGGGGAUGCCGGAACACGAUAACGAGAAAAGAGAACAAUACCAGUAACGAGGUAACUAGCAUAGUGGACAAGUUGUUGAUCCACGGGAAUGCCAACAUGUCUCACCUCGGGUAUUUGUAACAUAUCGCGAAGCAACAGGAAUAGCACACGACAACUGGAGGUUCACUCGAAUAUUUAUUCGUGUGGGUAUAGGGGUCAAUAUGGGUGUCCACGGCUUCGAUGUUGAUCAUUGAUCGGAAGGGGUUCCGAGUCAUGUCUAUACUUCACCGAACCUAUAGGGUCACACGCUUAAGGGUCAUCUAUCUGCUGAAUACUAGACAGGGAGUCUGAGAGAAAAUCACCGAAAAAGUUUCGGACACCGAAAAGUUUCGGACAGCGGAAUCGUACCGCAGAGAGAGGUCAUCGGAUAAGUUUCGAUGAUACCGAAAAGUUGUUUCGGGAUACACCAUUAAGUCAAAUUGGUUUCGGCACAUGCCUGAUAAUUCUUGGAGGAUGCCAGAAUCAUUCUGGAAGCUUUUUGGAAUUUUCUGAGAUAAAAACCGGAAAUGUUCCGGAGCUGCCGGAGCCACUUCAGAUGCGUUUCGCAGAUGAAAAUCACUAAAACCGGAAUUGUUUCGGAACACGUUGAAAAUCAUUUUAGUGGGUACUGGAAAUGUUCUUAGCCCACAUAAAUAUUUUCAGUUCGAUCAGACGCUGAAAAAUGUCGUCGUGAAUAGUGAAAAUCAGCUUUAUGGUUACUUUAUGGAAAGCCACCUUUUGGGGCUUUGCUCCAAAAGAUCUUGGGGAUGACAUGGGUGGAUAGGAGCCAUUUUUUGGGCCCCUCAUGGGGGUGUGGCCGGCCACAUGGGGUAUCCCCCCUUGGGGACCCUCUUGUUCCUUGGUUUCACUCCUAGGUCCUUGUGGAAGGACUUCAUUCAUGUGCAUUUUGGGUUUUUUGUGAAACUACCCUACCCCCUUGGGAUUUCCUAUAAAUAGAGGUGGAGGGGCAGCCCUCCACACUCAUCCCUUGCUCUCAUACACAUGCCAUGCAUUAUCUGGCUUCUUCUCUCCCUCCCACGAAAAGAGUUUCGUAGAGCCGUAAGGCUGUCUGGGUUCCGGCAGGAACUAGUUCUGGACGGCGAAGCCCUGCCGGAUAGAUGACACCGUAUGUGUGCAACUCUGUAGAGAGAUCGUAGUUUCGGUCUUAGUUCGUGAGUGCCUCCCGAAGGGCUGUACGUGUGACCGUCCGAGUUUCGAAGGUCCUCCCGAAGGNNNNNNNNNNAUGAGGGUAUACAUCCUCGCGGUUGGGAGGUUGUAAAUCCUAGCUGCGGGGAUCUGCACCGCCGAUCGUCAUCGACUCUACUUCCCGCUGCGCUACGAGUCGGUAACAAAAAAGAUCAAACCAUGUAUGCAGUCUCCAUAGUGGUCCUGGGCUGGUGCGUUGGUCGGAAAUUUUUUGUUUUCUGCUGCGUUACCCUACAGUGGCAUCAAGAGCCGUGCUAUGCGUAGAUGCAGGUUUCGAUCUAGAAUACAUGGAGAUGUAUGGGUAUUGCAUAAUAUAAUUAGGUAGUAGAUGAGAUCUAUUGCUGAAAAUUAUUUAUGUGGGUGACAGAUGAAAUCUGUUACCCGAGGUUCUUGUUGCUUCCCUAGAAUUUGCGUUUGCUCAAUCUCGAGACAGCAUGGUGGAAUUUGACAAAGUUCUGGCAAUCCGUGAUCCUGAUUGAUCAUGGAAGUGCUAUCAGUUCUUUGGGUUCUGCCGUAGUCAAAAGAAAGAUGAAAUUCGCAGAUGAAAGGGCAUUGCAGAUAUGAUCUGCACGGGGGUCAUGCGUAUGACGAAGUUUAGUAUGGGGCUCGAGAUUUGAUUAUCCCGUGUUUCAUAUACCCCGAGAUGUUAAUCUAGCAACCUGAAUAAUCAUACUUGAUGAUAAAAUGUUGGUAGCUGCGGUUUAAGUCAAAACCUUAGAAGCCACGUAAAAUAAAUUUUGCAUAAACCGAUUAGAGGCGUCUAAUUUGGUUUUGCAGGAUGUGCAUGUGAUGUGGUAUAGCAGUGCUCAUACUAAUUCGAUUAUGUAUGAGAUGACUAUAUGAUGUAAUUUGAUUAACAUGACCUGCGUGUCAUGAUUGGGCAUGAUGGCUGGAGCCAUAUGAUUGCACUUUAAUGACCUGCGUGUCAACCUUGUUGUAAUGCCUUAUUUUAUUAGCUAUAGAGAUAGCAAUAUUAUCUGGUGCAUCAACAGGGUGGUGGCAAUCUUCGUGAAGGUGAACACCGACGCGAAUGCCGAAGACGAAGAAAUGAAAUACUUCUCCGUCAGGAAGGGCUAUACCAUAUCAUGCUAUUAUGAAUUUCCUGAGAUGUUUAUCCCUUAUGAUACACCCUUCUUGAUUGCGCGGUAGUCGCUUUUUAUUAGGGUGAUCUCUCACUUAAAAUAUCAAAGUAGUUAGUGUUCACCCAAGUGUAGCACCGUCUGAAAUUCGUAUCUUUUCGGGGUGCGCCAUGUACACAUGGGCACGAACGAAUCGAGAGGAAUGAGGCGGGUGAGGUCAGACCUCGCAGCAGGAUCACUUGGUUGUCUUUGACGUUCAGGCAGGAGAGUCCUGAGCUCGGAACACGCCCAUCGAAAGAUGAACAAGAAUCACAUAGAGAUGUGAUCGGCAAGUUGGCCUACCAAUUGAAAUUCGUGUCAUCAGUGAUGAACCCGUCAAUGGCAUCGAAUAGAAAUAUGGAUCUUGAAUCACUCUAAAUCAAUUAUGAGAGAUAUUGAUUUGAGUGGGAGCGCACUAUUGAAUUAACAUGUUUAAUUCUCAGUGCAAUUAAUUAUGAACAAUGUCUAAGUGUUUCUUGCAAAAUAGUUGUAGAAUAAUGGCUCGCGUUUUCACCUUCCCUGCUAAAAUUGAAUAGCUGUUAAAUAUCUGGUUAAAACUUUACGUUUGGUAACGUAAUGUGAGGAUUGUCCUCAAAAGUGCCGAGAAGGACUUUGUCCUAUCGCAUGCUUUCCGUAUCCUCCCGCUAAUGCUAUGGAUCAUGUGACUCUCGUCCUUCGAUCCAAAAGCUAGAAUUAUGUUACGGUCAAGUGGAAUAUGUUUGCUUCCAUGAGACCCAAACUUCGAAAGUUGGGAUAGUUAUAUGAUAUUCAUGGAACUGAAAAUUAUUUUCAGAUACAAACAAAGCAAUGUUUGUUUGCAAGUAUUAGUAAAAGUGUUUACUAUGCAUUUGACUGUUGGGAAAGGGAUCCAGAAAAAUGCCUGUCAUAUAAUGAAAGGUGAAUAAAACAACAACUUAAAGAGAAAGGAAGUGUCCAAAGGGUGUUAGUAUGACUUACACGCCUAGGAAGUCCGGGGCUAAUGCCACUCUUAAGUUGGGUGCUUCUUCUGAGAGUAGGAGAAAUACUAAAAGUUAAACUGCUAGAAGUAUAAAGGCAAAAGGAAAGAAGACUGGAAUAUCCAGCUCAUGUAUGAAUGUCAUACUAGUUUUUGAUGUAUAGAAGGCUGGUCAAAGAUAUAGUUCUUGCGAAUUAUGGUUAAACAUGUUAAUCACUAAUUCUUGGGUAUUGUGAGUUCAUCACAAAAAUGCCCGCUCGAUUGCAUUCUGUUGCAACUCGAUGUAAGAACUACUAUGGCCUGAAAGACUAGCUAGAAAUGAGGUUAAGGUAUACACAGGGAACAUAGUAAAUGUUACUAUACCUUCCAUCGGUGUAUUGCCGUCUGUAUUUAUUUUCAUAAUUCAUUUAGAGUUUUACAAACUCUAUCCCAUUGCAUAAGGCAUCUUGCAAGAAGGUUGUUCAUAAGAGAAAUUUUUAUGUUCGAUGUUAUGAAUAACACAAGGGCCAUACUUUCAUUAUGAAUGAGAUGUAUGUUAUGAAUAUUGAUAAUAAUACAAUACCUCUGGGUUUACUUUCAUAAUUCAUUUUAGAGUUUCAUACACUCUAGCCCAUUGCACAAUGUUUGUUGCAAAAGAGUUGUUCAUAAAAACAACAAUUGUUGUUAAGUAUUAUGAAUAACAUAAGGGCCAUACUUCCAUCAUCGAUGGGACGUAUGUUAUGAAUAUUGAGGGUAAUAUGAUACAUCCAUAACACUGACGCUAAAUGUCGCAAGACUAAAAGAAUACCACACAAGUGUGGCACUACAUUUGGUCACAUUGGAGAAACCCGCAUGGAAAAUUCCAUUAUGAUGGAUUUUGAAGUCUUUUUGAUUUUGAAUCAUCUGACACUUGCAACUUUCCUCCGAAAAGUGAAGUGACUAAAAUACCGUUCACAGGCCAUAAGGAACGAACAACAAACUUAUUAGUGAUCAUACAUUUGAUGUGUAUAGUCCGAUAAGUGUUGUUAGUGGUGGAUUUAUUUAUCUUCAGAAAUGACUCAAGUAGAUAUAUGGAUAUUUACUUGAUGAGACGGAAGUCUGGAUCUUUUGAAAUCAUUCGAAAGGUUCUCAAAAAUGAAGUAGAAGUUAUUGUAACAAGAAAAUUAUGUUUCUGCAAUUUGAUUGCACAAAGGAAUAUUUGACUUACAUGUUUAGCGAAUGUCUGAUGAGUUGUGAAAGGGGUUUCAUAAACUUGCACCUCCCGGAACACCACUGCAAGUGGAAAGUCCGUGGAGAUGUAAUCAAACCAUUUAUGACAUGGUAAGGUCAAAGAUGACAUAAAUAAAUUUUCCAUUAUCCCUUUUAAAGUGAUGCUUUAGAGACUGCGGCUUUUACACUGAAAAGAGCUACAUCGGGUCUGUUGAAAUGAAGCCAUGGUAUGGUACGCCCAACCAUGUUAUAUCUUUUCUUAACAUUUGGAAUAUGGGGCUUGUGUAAAAGGUUACAAACCUAUUCCAAAUCAGACAAGUGCUACUUUGUAGGUUAUACCAAAAUGUUGGGUAUUCCUCCCUCACUAUACCGAGGCAAAUAGUUUUGCCGCGAAACGGUGUGCUUUUAAAGAGAAUGGUUCUUUCUAAAAGGUGAGUGGGAGAAUAGUGCAACUCGACGAGAUAAACAGUAUCUUCAUCAGAUCAAAGGAAAGAGACCUUGGAAGAAAUUCCAGAGUUUCCUACUCCGACUGAUACAGAAGUCUCUACAAUAAAAUGUAUGAACUUCGGUCGAACUUGCAGCUGAACCACGUAGGCAAGGCUCGUGCAAACCUCUCAGGUGCGCAAACGAGAUAUUGUUGUUAGACAACAUUAUACCUACGAUACACAAGGAAGCGUUGAUGGGCCCUGACUCCGGAAUUGGCUAAAUGCCAAUACAACCCGACUUAGUUUCCAUAUAAGUGAUUCAAGAUUAAAACCUUGAUACACCUUUCGGAAGACUUAGAGUCUAACGAAUAUUUAUGGAACUUAAAACUGAUACGGAUAAAAUGUUUUAUCCAUAAAGCUCGACUUGUUGAAAUAAUACGAUGAGGUUGUUUUCAUCGUACCGAUGCUUAAAGUCGGUUCGGGUUGAACUAGCAAUUAAUACAUAUUUCAAUCAUGAGAUAUGAAACAUGGAUGAUAAAAGGAUUUCCAUCUGAUGGAAAUGAAAGCUAGGACUUGUAUAUGAUACAGUCCAAAGUAAUUUGUCGAUCCAGAGGAUGCUAGUAGGUAUGCAAACUUCAGAGUUCCAGCAAUGGACAGAAGAGAGCAAAAUGGAGUUGGAAUCUUCGUGUUUUGAUGAAAUGGUCAAAGGGGUUUUGACUUCAUCAAUGGGUAACGAAGAUGCUUGUAAUUCAAGAAAGUAAGUGGGAGCGUAAUAAUAUUUCUAAAAACCUUAUGUGCUUGGCACAUUGGUAAUUGGAAAUAAAUUUCUUGACACAAAUUAGGACUUCAUUUGAAAAUAGUUUUUCGAUGAAGUGCUUAGGCUAAAUAGCCUCAAUAUUAGGCAUGAUGAUCUAUGGAGAUAGAUUUACCUAAUGGGGCUAAGCAAUGAAUACAUAUUUACAAGAUGCUAAAACCUUUUAGCAUUUAAAACGCCAAGGAGUGAUUCUUGCCAAAGUCACAUGGAAAGAGUUUUUGCAAGACUCGGUGUCCCAAAACACUGAUGAGUAAAAUACAUGAUGCAGAUUCCACACACUUUUGUGUUUGGAUUAAUCAUGUAUUCCAUGGUAUGUAAAACAACCAGAUAUGUCCGAUACUCCCAAGGUGUUGCGAGUAUGGAUACCAAAGUGAUCAAAUUACUGAUCAUGGGACAACAGUGAAAGAUGUCACAGAGUACUAGAGUAAGUACUGAUGACAUGGUUUUCUCGCAAGCAGAGAUCAUGAAGAGUUCGUUGUAAAAUGUUACAUCGAUAGAGUCUUCAUCUUUUCUCCAUGCGAUUUUCGAUUUAAAUUAAGGGUUUUGUGUAACACACAAUGUGGUGGCAUAGUUAGUUGGAAUUUGUUCAAACUAGUUACUGUGGCGAAUUCUAUAACAAGGGCUAAGUAUGUUGACGCUUUAGAAGCGACAAAGAAGAUGUUGAAUCAUAUAGUUCAUUCAUGAACUUAGUAUAGUUCCAAGAUGGCUUUUGACAAUGGGACACUACUACAGGUAGUUGCUCCAUAACUCAGUCUGAGGAAUCCAGGUUCGACCUGUGAUUCACAUACAUACAAAGCCAAGUCCACACAAAAUAUGAAUUUUGUGAAAACGAGAGGACAUGCAAAGAUACACACGGAACUGAAGUCGUUAGAUCCGUUGGACAUCAGGCUAUACCACAAGCGAAGCAUAUUUACACCGGUGUGCCACAGGUGUGAAGUGCAUUAGCAUAAGCUGGAUUAUUGACUCUAGUGCAAGUGGGAGUCUGUAGGAGAUAUGCCCUAGAGGCAAUAAUAAAUGAUAUUAUUUAUCUCCGAGUUCAUAAUUAUGUUUAUGUUCCAUGCUAUAACUGCAAUGAUUCUCGAGUCUGCAAUAUCCACGAGGCUCGGAGGAAGACUCAUAUGCACGUGUGGAAUAAUAAACGGUAAGAAGUAUUCCUAGUCUGGCCUCUAAGACUAGCUCAAGUGUUGCAUGAUGAUUCUGUUUUCCUGGUCAUGGGCAUGUCUAUGCCAGCAACUUUGAGGGCACAAUGUUAAGAGAACAUUUGUGUUGAAUCGACCCGGAUUGAUGUUAUGCUAUGAGAUUCAUUCGUCACAAGUUUAUUGGUACAUAACACAGAGAUGGUUAACGUUUGCAUGAUUCCUUAGACCAUGAGAGUAUCGAGUUUCUUCAUGCUUGCUUCAUGAACUUUGGGGUUUGUUAAACGUCAUCCGUAAAUGGGUGGCUAUUACGGCGGCUUACGGGUUCAUGGAAAAGUGUGUCAAGUAACUUGAUAGCUCAAGAUUGGGAUUUGCUCCUCCGACGAUGGAGAGAUAUCUCUGGGCCCUCUCGGUGUUACGGUAUCCAUCAUCGUCUGGCCAGACACUUUGUGAUUUGAUCAUGGGGAUGCCGGAACACGAUAGCGAGAAAAGAGAACAAUACCAGUAACGAGGUAACUAGCAUAGUGGACAAGUUGUUGAUCCACGGGAAUGCCAACAUGUCUCACCUCGGGUAUUUGUAACAUAUCGCGAAGCAACAGGAAUAGCACACGACAACUGGAGGUUCACUCGAAUAUUUAUUCGUGUGGGUAUAGGGGUCAAUAUGGGUGUCCACGGCUUCGAUGUUGAUCAUUGAUCGGAAGGGGUUCCGAGUCAUGUCUAUACUUCACCGAACCUAUAGGGUCACACGCUUAAGGGUCAUCUAUCUGCUGAAUACUAGACAGGGAGUCUGAGAGAAAAUCACCGAAAAAGUUUCGGACACCGAAAAGUUUCGGACAGCGGAAUCGUACCGCAGAGAGAGGUCAUCGGAUAAGUUUCGAUGAUACCGAAAAGUUGUUUCGGGAUACACCAUUAAGUCAAAUUGGUUUCGGCACAUGCCUGAUAAUUCUUGGAGGAUGCCAGAAUCAUUCUGGAAGCUUUUUGGAAUUUUCCGAGAUAAAAACCGGAAAUGUUCCGGAGCUGCCGGAGCCACUUCAGAUGCGUUUCGCAGAUGAAAAUCACUAAAACCAGAAUUGUUUCGGAACGCGUUGAAAAUCAUUUUAGUGGGUACUGGAAAUGUUCUUAGCCCACAUAAAUAUUUUCAGUUCGAUCAAACGCUGAAAAAUGUCGUCGUGAAUAGUGAAAAUCAGCUUUAUGGUUACUUUAUGGAAAGCCACCUUUUGGGGCUUUGCUCCAAAAGAUCAUGGGGAUGACAUGGAUGGAUAGGAGCCAUUUUUUGGGCCCCUCAUGGGGGUGUGGCCGGCCACAUGGGGUAUCCCCCCUUGGGGACCCUCUUGUUCCUUGGUUUCACUCCUAGGUCCUUGUGGAAGGACUUCAUUCAUGUGCAUUUUGGGUUUUUUGUGAAACUACCCUACCCCCUUGGGAUUUCCUAUAAAUAGAGGUGGAGGGGCAGCCCUCCACACUCAUCCCUUGCUCUCAUACACAUGCCAUGCAUUAUCUGGCUUCUUCUCUCCCUCCCACGAAAAGAGUUUCGUAGAGCCGUAAGGCUGUCUGGGUUCCGGCAGGAACUAGUUCUGGACGGCGAAGCCCUGCCGGAUAGAUGACACCGUAUGUGUGCAACUCUGUAGAGAGAUCGUAGUUUCGGUCUUAGUUCGUGAGUGCCUCCCGAAGGGNNNNNNNNNNNNNNNNNNNNNNNNNNNNNNNNNNNNNNNNNNNNNNNNNNNNNNNNNNNNNNNNNNNNNNNNNNNNNNNNNNNNNNNNNNNNNNNNNNNNNNNNNNNNNNNNNNNNNNNNNNNNNNNNNNNNNNNNNNNNNNNNNNNNNNNNNNNNNNNNNNNNNNNNNNNNNNNNNNNNNNNNNNNNNNNNNNNNNNNNNNNNNNNNNNNNNNNNNNNNNNNNNNNNNNNNNNNNNNNNNNNNNNNNNNNNNNNNNNNNNNNNNNNNNNNNNNNNNNNNNNNNNNNNNNNNNNNNNNNNNNNNNNNNNNNNNNNNNNNNNNNNNNNNNNNNNNNNNNNNNNNNNNNNNNNNNNNNNNNNNNNNNNNNNNNNNNNNNNNNNNNNNNNNNNNNNNNNNNNNNNNNNNNNNNNNNNNNNNNNNNNNNNNNNNNNNNNNNNNNNNNNNNNNNNNNNNNNNNNNNNNNNNNNNNNNNNNNNNNNNNNNNNNNNNNNNNNNNNNNNNNNNNNNNNNNNNNNNNNNNNNNNNNNNNNNNNNNNNNNNNNNNNNNNNNNNNNNNNNNNNNNNNNNNNNNNNNNNNNNNNNNNNNNNNNNNNNNNNNNNNNNNNNNNNNNNNNNNNNNNNNNNNNNNNNNNNNNNNNNNNNNNNNNNNNNNNNNNNNNNNNNNNNNNNNNNNNNNNNNNNNNNNNNNNNNNNNNNNNNNNNNNNNNNNNNNNNNNNNNNNNNNNNNNNNNNNNNNNNNNNNNNNNNNNNNNNNNNNNNNNNNNNNNNNNNNNNNNNNNNNNNNNNNNNNNNNNNNNNNNNNNNNNNNNNNNNNNNNNNNNNNNNNNNNNNNNNNNNNNNNNNNNNNNNNNNNNNNNNNNNNNNNNNNNNNNNNNNNNNNNNNNNNNNNNNNNNNNNNNNNNNNNNNNNNNNNNNNNNNNNNNNNNNNNNNNNNNNNNNNNNNNNNNNNNNNNNNNNNNNNNNNNNNNNNNNNNNNNNNNNNNNNNNNNNNNNNNNNNNNNNNNNNNNNNNNNNNNNNNNNNNNNNNNNNNNNNNNNNNNNNNNNNNNNNNNNNNNNNNNNNNNNNNNNNNNNNNNNNNNNNNNNNNNNNNNNNNNNNNNNNNNNNNNNNNNNNNNNNNNNNNNNNNNNNNNNNNNNNNNNNNNNNNNNNNNNNNNNNNNNNNNNNNNNNNNNNNNNNNNNNNNNNNNNNNNNNNNNNNNNNNNNNNNNNNNNNNNNNNNNGGAGGGCUGUCUGAGGAGCAGAUGAGGGUAUACAUCCUCGCGGUUGGGAGGUUGUAAAUCCUAGCUGCGGGGAUCUGCACCGCCGAUCGUCAUCGACUCUACUUCCCGCUGCGCUACGAGUCGGUAACGAAAAAGAUCAAACCAUGUAUGCAGUCUCCAUAGUGGUCCUGGGCUGGUGCGUUGGUCGGAAAUUUUUUGUUUUCUGCUGCGUUACCCUACAAAGUGGAGGGUCCAAAAUGGGAGGAAACGACGCAAAGUCGACGGUAACUGGUAGUGACGACUUGUGGGGAAAUGCACCUAUUUUUUAAAAAUCGCUAAUGGCCCAAACCGAAAUAUGGAAGUUUAAGUGGCAGGACUCGGAUAUGCAAUUUUGGUAGUCGCACAGACCAAUUCUUCCCCAAAAUAUAAUAUGAAAACUUUUUUAUGAUAGGUUUGAGGAUAUUGAUCAGUAUCGUAUAUGUUAAUAUUUCUUUCUUAUAAACUAGAUCAAAGUGUAAUCAAACAAAACAAAUAUGCACUCUAUUUUGAAAGGAGGGGAGUAGGCCCUAUCUAUAAGACAUCAUGACCGUGGCUAUUCAUGAUUUCUUGGAACUAGUACUAAUGACAUUUUAUUGGACUAGGUAAUUGCCCGUGCAUUGCAACAGGGCCGAUCUACUGUGAUGGUUCAUGCACAUCAUGGCAUUUUUUGCUUAUAGUACCGCAGGAUCACUCUUCUUCCUCAAUCUCUCACUCACCCACUGCGCUCUCUCUCUCUCUCUCUCUCUCUCUCUCUCUCUCUUCUUCCACCUUGUCUGAAUAUUAGAUAGGAAUACUUGCCUAGAAACCAUAUGUCGGACUUGGAGCCAAAUGGAAUGUUAGCAAGAAGUUCAGGGCAUAUGUAACUGGGAGUUCCUACAACCUUCAAAAGAGACACGGUAUAUCAAAUCAUAAGCAACUUAGAAAGAGAAAGACCUACAUAUGUAGGGCUUGAGCAAGAACAACUUACUGACGAAGCUAAAUCAUCAGAAGUCAAUACUUUUGCCAAAAUCACCUAUGUCACACAACAUAUAUUCGGAACACAAAAUUUGUUGUCAGUUCAUACAAGUAUUCACAGUGCAGUUAUUCCAAGAUUUUUUUUUUUCGUGAGAGCAUACUUACCGAGCCAUAUAUUCUGGUCCUUUGUAAGAAAAAAAAUACAAAGCAUGGUGAGUAACCUGCUAGGAUUAACUGAACUGUGAUUAUCACAUAAAGUCACUACUAUUAUAAGAAGUUGUCCCAGGCCCCCGCGUCGCCCACCUCCCAGGGUGACUCGGGCGACAGCGAGAUCUACUCCGCCAGGUCCCUCUCGCACCUUCUCUCCCCCCUCGCCGCCGCCCUAUGGACUCGGCCUGGCUAAGCCCGUGCAGAUCCGGCGGCGAUGGGGCCCCUGGCACCCUGGUGUGGCUUGUCCUCGGGCGGGAGGCUCGAGCGAUGGAUGGACGGCGCAGCGCUCCACCGCCUGCGUCGCUAGGCCCGGUGGUGGUGGAGGACGGCGGUGGUCACGGCAGUGCGCCCAUGUCACCGCAACCCUCUUCUUCAGGAAUGGGAUCCUGCUCAGAUCCAUGGAGGCAUGGUGGUCGCAGCGCGGGCGCACGCGCGCGGAUGGCGUCCAGUCUGGCAGCAGGAUCAACCAUGAUGGUGGCGGCGGCUACCUCCGGCGGUCGGGUGUCCUUCACGUUGAUUUUGUCCGGUAAGCGGCUUAGCGGCGCCUCCGGCCAGAUCCGAUCUGGCCGGUGCUGCCAGCGGUGGUGUCCAUCUCCUCCGUCGGAGGUGGUCGGCCUGAGGCUGGAUGAUCAGAUCUCGUGAUCUGUCAUCUAGUUCCGGCUGCGAGUCGGGAUGACAUAGUUGCCAAUGAAAACCGAGCCGAUGGCAGACGAUGACGGCGCUAUACGCCGUUACCUUGAUGAACGCAUCAUCAUGCAACGAUUGUCGACCAACUCGUGCUGCUCCGAGGGAAACCCUAGGACCUGGUCUUCCAGAUCGGACGAUGGUGGUACUGCGGUGUCGUUUCUCUCUUGGGAGCAUCGUUUGUGAAGCAGCGCUGGAAGACAGAGGCAGGAGAUGGAGCGGCUUCGUCUUGCACGGAGCUUCGGUGGAGAUGUCAAGUCAUGCCUGGCCGACAGGUGCUACGCUGUGUCAUGCCUGGUCGGCAGGUGCUACGCACGACAGAUCUUCCAGAAUCUUCGCGUCUGGAUGGACGAGCGCGGGGUGGUGGCGCCGUUGUGUGCCGUGGUGGCGUCGACGGAUGGACGGACUGACAAGGAUGAUGUGGAUCUCUCUCUUGAAGAUGGGUCAGCAGUCCGAUGAUGAUGGCGGGUGUCUAAAAGAUGUGUAUGUGUGGUGUACACUGCUGCACCGGCUGUUCGUUCCGAUGCGUUAUGUGGAUGAAUCGGCGACGACAUCGGUUUAGAUAUGGGGAGUGAGAGCACUCCACAUAAUCAAGUUUUGUAGGUGAGAGUGGUGGCUUCGGGUGGUUUGAUGUACGUUCUUGUUAGACCUUGAUGAAAUAAUAAAUAAAGAUGGCCGCAUGCAUCGCUUGAUGCAGAGGCCCGGGGUUUAAACCUCCUUUUUCAAAAAAAAAACAUUAUCAGAAGUUGAGCAACUAAAAAUGCAUGGACAGACUCGCUUACUUUAUUGCCUGAUCAGGGCGGCUUGGGAAGGCCGGCGGCUCCACAACGUGUGGGCAUUAUGAGAAGAGUUGUGAUGUUGCUCCUCGUCACUGGUUAAAAGGGUGCUUGAUACGUUUUAGUGCUAUGACUAAAAUUAGUGGGACUAAAACUUGCUAGCCUCAUCCAUGCUUGGAUCCAAAUACUAAAGAGACUAAAAUCAAGUUAAUGAGCAUUUAUUAUCCUCCAAAGCCUCCAAUCCAGAACUCGGCUGUGUUAAAGGAGAGGAGUUAAAUGAGGAGAGAGAGGACUAAUCCACAUUUUAGUAGGGGUACCCCUGACUAAAAAAAUUUAGUCUCAAGACUAGUUUUAGUCUCUCUUUAGUCAGGGGUGCUUAGAACUUUAUCCUCUUAAAAGAUUAUUUUUAAUCAGACUAAAAUAAGUCCCUUGAAUCCAAGCACCCUCUAAUUGUCCAAUGCUACUGCCACACCAUUUUGCAAACACGGCAAUGAAAAGGUCAAACCAUAACUCCACGCUUACCUUAGAAGGCAGAUCAAAAAUUAAAAUUGAGUCAGUGAUUAGAAUCCUGCAGCCUCGCGUGGUUGUUCAUUGACACAACAGAUAGAGCUACUACUAUGAUGAGAAUCAAUCUAAUAGAUACGUGUCCCUGGAAAGAGUAUGAACUUUGGACUCCCAAUUGUCGUCGGACGAGCACAGGCGGGCGCACAUGUCUUUUCGGCCAGGCCCAGGCGUCUCCUCCUAGCACCAAUGUUGCAGACCUGUCUCAAACCUGAACCAUAGAUUGAUGCAACCGUGAUGGUGGUCAUCACAUUUUAGAUUGAUGCAGCAGUGUCAGGCUCAACGUAGCGGCAUGUACUGUGGAGUGUGGAGUGUGGAGUGUGCCGUCUAUGACUGCCAACACAGGUCGGCUAGGCGAGAGAGGAAGGAGGAGGAAGACCGGCGAUGAUAAUUACGGAGAGUCAGAAGCAGUGGCAUGGGUGAGAGGAUGGUCGGUGGUGCGUUGCAAAGAGGCAUCAAGGCCGGUGGCGGCAUAUGAGUGGCUGGAGGCGGUCGUGCAUGAGAGCACGGGGGCGUACAGGGAGGCGCCGAUGGUCGGGUUUGGCUAGCGCCGACGCUAAACCUGGAAUUUCCUAUUCGACUCUCUCUGCGUCGAAAUGUCGAGGUAACGCACACAGCGACGAUACUAACCGAACGACUGGGCCGGCCCAUCUAUAUAUCUUUCCCUAAUCUUUCUUUCCCUAUAAUAUAAUUAUAAUUAUAAUUAUAAUUUAUAUAAUAAAGCACGGAUUGACUCCGUGGGUUCAUCUUCACAAUACGCUUUCUUCUCGUGUCAUAAUACGCUUUUACGAUUUGUAUAGACAAAAUCGUAAUAUAAACGAGGUGGUACUAAAACGCUUGCGAAAAAGUCAUUAUUUUUUUGAUGGUACUAUUUUUCUGCCCACCUCACGAUUGUUUUUUUUAAUAGUUUGAAUUGCUUACCACAUGUGUCACGUGGUGCCCACCUCACGGUUGUUCACGCAGUCGGGCAACUCAUCCAGCAAGUUAUAUGCCAAAUUCAGUUCUUUUUUCUAACUAAGCCUGGCCCACGAGGCCACGUCCAGUUGAAGCUAGACGGACGAUGAAUUGGAGAUGGGAAAGUGUUAAAAUCAGCCGGAUGAUCUAUCCCAAGCGUAAGCCGCGUCUAACGUUUGACACGUGUCCAGGUGGGCCUCGCGCAUCACAGCUUCCACCCUUCGUGCUUAUCCCAAUUCUCAACCGAGAAGCACUCACCACACAUCUAUUCUCUCCCCGUACACCACGCGUUGACUGCAAACCACUCACAAACUGUCUAUUGAAUCUCGCCGGCUCUACAAGGCCCUGGAUGCGCCGCUCGCGGCAGCGCUAACCGGCGCUACAACCGGAGAAUCUCGCCGGGGGGAGUGCUGCAACCAGCCGUUGCAGCCACCAUGGGUCUGCUGCAAUCCUGUCUCAAAUCGACGGCUAAUGUCGCCGAAGUUGCAAUCGCACAGCUCGUCGGUGUUGCAGCCGUGGCCGGCGCCAACGGAGGAAACGGCCGCAUCGUCGGGACCGUCAGCCAUGGUUGGUGUUGCCGAGCGUGUUGAUGCAGCGCCGCCGGUGUUGCGGAGAGGAGCGCUGCAACCCGUGGAUCUCGUCAGCGGCGGUGGAUGGUUCCGUGGAGCGCGCGUGUCGCGUCCUCGUAGCUCUCGGUGGGCGACGGAGCUGCAGUGCAACUCGCCGGUGGGCGGGAGGUAGCUUUAGUGCAACAUGCAUCGUGCUGCCCGCCGGUGGCGGAGCUCAGUGCAGCGGGCGUGGCGCUGCAUGCCGGCCGGUGGAGCUGCACACUAGUACAAAACAGGGCUUUCGUCACAGGGCAAUAUUCACAUUAGUCCCGGUUCAGUCACGAACCGGGACUAAUGUGAGCAUUGGUCCCGGUUCGUGCGGCUAAGGCAUUAGGGCCGGUUCACCUGGGCCCUUUAGUCCCGGUUGGUGCCACGAACCGGGACUAAAGGGUGCGAUGCCCAUUAGUACCGGUUGGUGGCACCAACCGGGACCAAAUGUUAGUCCUUUAGUCCCGGUUGGUGCCACCAACCGGGACCAAAGGACAUGUGCUGCCCGCGUCGCGGCCAAAGUUUAGUCCCACCUCGCUAGUUGAGAGAGCUCGAGAGUGGUUUAUAAGCGCUGCUGCGCCCAUCCUCUCGAGCUCCUCUCAAUUGCAGGCUUUCGGGCCUAACCGUACACUGUGUGCCUGUGGGCCUACUGGGCCACCUGCGGGCCUGAAUCCUGGCCCAUGGUUGGGUUUCUAGUCGUAUUCAGGCCGUGGUGGCCCAGUAGAUGGCACUUUUUUUUCUUUGUUGCUUUAUUUAUUUUAUUUUGUUUCUACUUACAACAAAAUACUUACUGUUGCUAUUUUUAUUUAUUUUAUUAAAUUUUAUUUUUUAAUUCUUUUUGCUUUUAGGUCACAAAAAUUAUAAACUUUCUGUUAGUGCCAUUAGUUUUCAAAUUUGAAUUCUUUGAUUUUGUUAUUAUUGUGUUUUAUGAUUCUAUUCAAAAACAGAUUUUGUUAUUUUAGUUUCUAACAAAAAAAUCUUUAUGAUAAUGCUUUUUGCUAUUAAAUUUCUAACAAAAACAUUCUUUAUGAAAAUUCUUUUCGCUAUUAAAGGGCCCAUCAAACUCUACCCCCCCUCCCGUGGACCGCCUUUUCAGUUUUAGAAAAAACAAAAGAAAAUGAUGGAAAUGUCAAAAAAAUAAAAUAACAUAAGUUUCCCAUGUGAUAUGUGGUCUAGUUGUUGGGAAAAUUAACAAAUAUGAAUUUCGACUUUAUUUGCAAAAUCUCUCUGGAAUUUCUUAAAAUGGGCAUAACUUUUGCAUACGAACUCGGAUUAAAAAGUUUUUUAUAUGAAAAAUCAUCUACUCGAAAAGUUACAUCCGAAUUUAGCCCGGGGAACCCCGUUAAACAUUUUCAAAAUCCUCAAAAACCUAACAGAAAAAAGAUACGGGGCUUUUAAGAUCUAGAGAGGCAAAAAAAUUCAAAAAAUUUCAAAUUGUGGUCAAACUGUGGUCAAACAAUGGUCAAACUAAUUAUUCUAGAAUAUUAGUGUUACUAAAUAAUUAUUUCAGUUUUUUUGAAUUUUGGUCAAAUCUGGUCAAACAGUGGUCAAACAAUGGUCAAACUAAUUAUUCCAGAAAUAUUAGUGUUACUAAAUAAUUAUUGUUUUUUAAAACAAUAGUUUCAAACUCAAACAGUGAAAUGUGUCACUUCAUGCUCAAGCUAAAUUCCUGAGGGUUAAUAGAAUUGACAUCUUACUAUUGUCAGGAAAACAACAAGUGCAGACUUGGAAACGAGGGAGAAUAGAACCCGGAAGUUAAGCAUGCUCAGGCUGGAGUAGUGAGAGGAUGGGUGACCGUCCGGGAAGUUAGAUGAUUUGGAAUGACGAGGGGUGAUUAGAGAUUAGAGGAUAAAUUGAGCAGUGAUGAGGGGUGAUGAUUAGAGAUUAGAGGUUAAAAUAAUUCAGAAAUUUGAAAAUAAAAAAAAUUUCAAAAAAUUCGCAAAAAAAAUUUUCAAAAAAAAAAACAUAAAAUUUCCUUUAGUCCCGGUUGGUGUUGGUAACACCAACCGGGACUAAAGGUGGAGCUCCAGGCUGCGUCCAUGUGGACGGCCUUUAGUCCCGGUUCGUGUAAGAACCGGGACUAAAGGGGGGAGGCAUUAGUAACGAGCCUUUAGUCCCGGUUCAAAAACCGGGACUAAAGGCCCUUACCAACCGGGACAAAAGCCCCCUUUUCUACUAGUGGCAGUGCAACAUGCCGGUGGACGUCGGAACUGCAGUGCAACGGGCUGCCGCCGGGGCUGCAAUGGAGCUCGGUCGGAGUUUCAACGGAGCUUCGCCGGAGUCGUCGGAGCUCCGCCGGGGCCGCAAUGGAGCUCGGCCGGAGUUGUAAUGGAGCUUCGCCGGAGCGUCGAUGUUGCGUUGGAGCUCCGUCGGUGCUGCUAUGGAGCUCGGCCGGAGUUGCAAUGGAGCUUCGCCGGAGUGUCGAUGCUGCGUUGGAGCUCGUUCCGGUUCCAAUGGAGCUCACCGAACGUCGUCGGUACUGUGUUGGAGGCUUGGAGCUAUGCGCCGGGCUGCAAUGGUGUUGUGCUGAAAGCUCAAUGCUGCCCGCCGGCGGCGGAGCUGCAAUGCAACGUGGGCGCAGCUGCAACGCGCGGAUCUCACUGGCGGCGGAGCUGCAAUGCUACUCGUGUGGCGACUUCCUGAUCUCGCCGGCGACGGAAACUGCAAUGCAACGGGCUGUUUUUGCUGUGGGGGAUUUGACCCGUGGUGCAUGGCCGGUGCAGGUACUUACACGGGAGGAGGGGAGGACCAGGUUGUUGACGACGAGCGACGGACGACCGAGUCAAUUUCAGGCUUGGAAAGGGGAAGGAUGCACGUGGUCUAGCUGGCUUAAAUCAAACGGCUGCGCGCCUCUCAUCGAACGGCUAGCUAGGCGGUUUAGAAUUUGACUCCUGUCAACCGGAUGACGCGUAGCACUGGCCAUUGGAGAUAACCACGACCUGACUUUAUCUGGCUCGGUCUUUUCGUACGUCGCUCCCCUGCUACCGUGUUACCCAACACGUAGUACUAUUUUUUCUCCGUGACUCUAGAGGACGAGGACAGUUGGAGUCGAACACCGAUAUCCCUGGCCGACUUCCCAAUUCCUUCCAUAAAUAUCGUCUCGGCAGAGACGGAGGCCUGGAUAUGUGAAGGCGGUGCAGAAACAGACGGCCGUGCCGGCAAUGAUAGGUGCCAUACGAACUCGCCGAUGUCGUCCGUUGUGUCGUCAUCGGCAGAAAGUGAGGAUCUCCCUCCUCCUAGCCGACAGCCGGACCGCCGUCGUGCUAUCCGCCGGCCCAUGAGCAAGAUGCCCCCCAUCCGCCUCGCCAACAGACGGUCCGCCGUCAUGCAGGCAUGGCACGGUCCCGGUCCCCGAUGAACGCCGCCAGCCGAUGCACUGGUCGAACGAGAUAUCGUACAGUGCUGGGUAUCGCGUGUGGCCAUGAUUGCGCACGCCUGUCGUUCCCGAUCAGGUCGCACCGUAGGAGGACAAUGAUUUCGCAUGUAAGACACCUCCACGGACUGCAUCAGCACUCCAGCCGUCUCGUGCCCGGCGGCAGCGGCAAGACAGCACAGCGGGAGGCAGAGGUAAGUAGACGAUUGUGGUAGCAGCGACGAACAGGCUGGAGGAAUUAGUGAUGUGUACUUGCAGUUGUCAUGAACGACAAAUUAACACGUACGGCUUGUGGACACUAAUAGGCUUCUUUCAUUAACAUGGAACACAUUGGCGUUUAAACAUCUUCUCUUUCCCAUUACAGGACACAUGCCCUGUUCUACGUCUUUAUGUAGUAGAUCAAACAGCAGACCUCCCAUAAAAAAGAAGCAGAGAUGCUUAAAUUAUGGCCAUGGCCGAGCUAUUCUGUUGCCGUGUCCUCAUGUGAAUGUGUGUGUUGUCUGAGUCGAGCUGGUGUUUAGAAAAAAACCAACAAACAGGAGCCUUCAUAUCUAUCACGCUCAAAUGGCAUGCAAUCAUGCAUGUACGCGCAAAUUGAAAGCUUAAUGAGUGAUAUUAAAUAAUGAGUUCCCCUAAAAAUAUAUUAAAUAAUGAGUGUGAUUUUUGUAUCCUUUAUAUUCCAUUAAUAGAUGGAAAUGUGUAUUUUAUUAGGUGAUUUGUUAACAAUUUAGAUUUUUGUUGCAAAUAAUAAUAUUUCGCUUUUUCUGAUCAACUACUCCAAUUAUGGAGGUCAAUGUUGGAGUACGAUUUUACCGAGGUAAAAUAUGUUGUUUGUAAGAGAUUUUGUAUUCUUUACCAAUACAUGGACACCAUAGAGUAGCUCUUCACGCCUAGCUCAAGUGGAAUGUGUUUUUAAGUUAUAAACAUUUCCUUGUAUUGGUAUGGUUUAAUGGAUGGGUGAGCUCGUCGUCUUGGGAUUGACCAUGUUCAGAUGCCUUGCGACCUGUUAGACCGUUGGUGAUGGUGGAAAAGAGGAUAAUCGUCGACAAAUGGGGUGUCACAUUGAAAUAGAUGUUGUGGGCUGUGUGGGGGAGGUGUUGGGAAUGGGAUUAUGAUAAUUUUUUUUCCUAAUGCAACACACGGACAUAUUUGUUAGGAUCCAACAAAAUAUUGUGAUGCGCUAGGAAAACAAUACCAUUGGAAGCUAGGCGUCGAUGGAGACGUCAAGGUCACACGGCCACCACAAGUUUGCAUUGUUGUUUCUUUCCGUUGCAACGCACGGGACUUUUUGCUAUAAUAAUAAUAAUAAUAAUAAUAAUAAUAUAAUCUCUCCCUAUAUAAAGCACGGAUUAACUUUGUCGGGUUCACCGUCACAAUACGCUUUUUUCUCAUGUCAUAAUACGCUUUUACUAUUUGUAUGAAUAAAAUCGUAAUAUAAACGAGGUGGUACUAAUCUUUCCCUAAUAGCGUGCGCCCUGCGCUGCGUUUUUUCGGGGCCUGCACCCAUCCGCCCCGCACCCGCUUGGGCCUCAUGAAGCCGGCCCAUCUACACUGGGAAAGGCAAAAACAGUGGCGCCUUGUGUCGCUACCCGGGAUCGAACUCGCAAUCUCCUAGGAAAUUUGUAAGGCUGCAACCAACCGAGCUAGACAAUGUUUUUGUUUAGUCCCACCUCGCUUUAGCACAUCACAUAUCACCAGUUAAAAUAUGUGUGUGAAAACUGCACCUAUGUGGAAACUGGCUGCUCGAUGGAUUAUAUGGCCGCAAUGAGAAAACGCAUGCACACAAAUCGGCCCAAUGACUCCGCAUCUCUCAGAAAAAUAGAGAAAUACAGGAAGGAUAAUUCAAGGAAGGAUUGAGAAUUGUUGGGAAAAUUAGGGACAAAAAUAUAAGAAAGGUAAUUCAAGGAAGGAUUGAGAAUUGAGGACAAGUCAAUAAUAUAGACUGAGAGAAAUAAUAUAAAGGAAGGAACGAGAAUUGAGGAAAAAUCGUGCCAAAUUUCCAUGAUAUCCGUACGUGGAGGCUAAUCUUCUAUUUAAGUGGUGGGCUAAUUAAACAGGUUCCUAAACUAGGAGAGCCACCCAUGCCUAUAGGUGGGGAUUCGGCUUGCCUGCUCUAUACGUGGUGGCUGCUAUUUAGACAGAUUCCUAAGACUGAAUAAUAUAAUAUUGAAAGCCCCGACGUAAUGCCGGGAAUGAAUAUAUGUUCAAACUUCAAGAAGAAAGUUAUAUCCACGACUACAUUGGAUGUUUUUUUCUCCAUUGCGUCUUUGGUAUGACCGAGUCGACCAACACAUGCCGGUCACUGACAUGCUCUUCUGCUAGACAUCGUCACGUAGAAGCCUGCCUCGCUCAGCCCAGUGCCACCGGUCACAACGGAUGAGGAGUCGAACUCAAAUGUCAUGGUGUGUCCAACACGAACUACUCCAUUUUCCCUACUAUAUUAGCCGAAUGAUAAUAAAUCUUUGCCCAACGUUCUUAGUCUAGCCGAACACGAAGGAUGCUAAAGCAUCCAGUUCUUGGGCCUGGCCAACCUUGCUUAGUAACAAUUGGCAGUGUGGCUAUCGACAACGAGGGUGGAAAAGUGGAUAAGCGGAAACUUGAUUCAGGUGUCAUGUUCAAAUAGAGGACGCCGGCCUAAGAGUGAGGUCUUAGUCAUGUUUAUUUGGUUAGGGGCAUGGAGGUGAGGUCUUACGCCAUGCUCAAUUGGUUGAGUUAGGACUUGUGGUGUUUGUUUUCUCCCGUUGCAACGCAUGGGCAUUUUUGCUAUCUUUUCCUAAUAAUAAAGCACGGAUUGACUUUGUCGGGUUCACCGUCACAAUACGCUUCUUCUCGUGAAUUUACGUUUUCAGUUUUUUUCCGACACGUCCAUAUUUUUUCCAAAAUUCAAGGUGGUACUAAUUAAAUCUACGGUCCCUUUUUAGAUGUUACUUUAAGCCGACACCUUGUCCUACGUUACGUGUAGGUUUCAGACUCCAGAGAUAACUCCCGUUGAAGAACGAACUGGGAAACUCCCAAACUUAUAAAUAACUACAUUACUAAUCCCUAAUACAAAGAGAACAGGCGCAUAGAGAAUCCCCUCGAUUUCCUCCUCAUAUAUCGCACGAACUCGAUGAUGCCGCCGCCAAACCACCGCAAGUCCAAGAGCUUGAUUCUCUCCAUCGCCCUCGCCGACAGCCGGGCCACCAUCACGGCAGGAACUCGCCGAUGCCAUCCACAUGCCUGAUGCUCUCCCUCCGCCUCACCGACAGCCGAACCGUCGUUGGUCUUGCCGGCAUGGACCUGGUCCAUCAUGAUCGCCGCCGGCCGCUGUUAUGGCCGUGUUAAAAAAGGAUGUUGUAGAGGCGCUGGGCGCCAUGCGUAGCCACGACUGGAUGGCCUGAUCUUCCCAGCCAGGUGGCAUCGUAGGAUGGCAAUGAGCUCACAUGCAGGGACUACGUCCGGCACUCCGGCCGUCGCGCGUUUGGUGGCAACAGCGAAGGCAGCAAGGCAGAGGUGGCGGUGUGAGGGCAGAUUGAAGGUGCUUGGAUGCAUCCCUACUGGCCACCGCAUCUGCACAUCGUACUCAUAAUAGUUCCCAGGUGUUGGUCAACCUUUUCCCUCUCACGGUUGCACCAAUCCAUGGCUGCAUAUGGUGGCCAUAGACAAAGCUUUUCAAGAAGAGAUAAGAAUCUGGUAUAUGGCUCGUGUAAAAAGUCUUCCAACUGCCUAGAUCUAGGCUUGUGGAUGCAUGGUGUCUUCUUGCCCAAAGUCGUCGGCGUGCACACAAGACGAUGAGAGCUCGUUUUUUUGCGAAAGAGAGCCCAUAUUUUCAACCACUCUAUUUUUUCCUUCAGGUCUUGUGGCAUCAAGGCGGUGUGGCACUUGAUCUUUGUGCGUGUGCAUGCGUGGAAAUUGGAUGUGCUGCUGCUUACACACUAAAAUUGUAGCUAUUUGUUUUUCGACAAAGGGUGAAUUUUAUUGGCUCAAAAUAGAGCAUCAAGAAGAUACAAACAUAAUGAGCACACCCGGCCUCUGCAUAGCUAGGAUGCACACAGCCAACACCAACACACGCACACAAGAACAUACCAACAAAUAGCAAAGUCAUACAAGACCAAAGCUAUGCAUAGGUGAGAAAAAAAAAACCUGAAUCGAUCAAAUCCAUAAUCGGAAAACUACAUCAAUGACCAUAUCCACACCAACCAUCUUAUUACACCAAAUGAACGACGAGAUUCUUCAACAGCAACGCCUUCAGAAAGGGAGCGACGCUCAAUAGUCGCCGUCACCGGAUCCAACCACCUAAGGUCAGAAUCUAGGUUAUUUGUGGUGAGGUAAUUUUUGGUUGUGUGCGCUACUGCUUCUUAUAGACGUGAAUUUCUACUUCUUGCAAUUACUAAUGCACAAAUAUUUCAGAUUUUUUAUAUUCCAGACAUAAUAUUUAGUUUAGAAAGGCGGACAUGGCUGACACAAUGACGCAUAUAAUUUAAACCCCCCAUUCUCUGGCUAUAUGAUGCACAAAUGGGAUUAGUUUGGCAGUUCUAAACUGGUCUGCCGAAGGUAGCGCUAUUGUGGCCUAGAACUCACUUCUUAACUGCAAGGUCCAUGUGUUGUCUAGAUGCGCAACUCUUGCUCCAAACUGUAGAGGAUAAUGGUGCAUAGACCAAGUGUGAGGAGUAGCUCACGGAGGGUGGCCAUCACGUCGAACUUGGCAACUAUAGUUUUUAAACUUUAAACAUUCUCUUGCGUUGGUGAGGUUUAAUGACAGGUGUGUCGUACGUUGGUGAAGUUUAAUGACAGGUGUGUCGUGUGUUUUAUCAUAGAAUUAACCACUUUCGGACAUGUUUGUCAUCAGGUGGACACCAUGGCCUCCAUCGAUGAGGGCAAAAAAAAAUAAGCAGUGAAGAUAUGGAAGUCUUAAGACAUGCUAAUUUAGCUAGGGGCCUACCAUAUAUAUUACCCCGUUGCAACGCACGGGCAGNNNNNNNNNNNNNNNNNNNNNNNNNNNNNNNNNNNNNNNNNNNNNNNNNNNNNNNNNNNNNNNNNNNNNNNNNNNNNNNNNNNNNNNNNNNNNNNNNNNNNNNNNNNNNNNNNNNNNNNNNNNNNNNNNNNNNNNNNNNNNNNNNNNNNNNNNNNNNNNNNNNNNNNNNNNNNNNNNNNNNNNNNNNNNNNNNNNNNNNNNNNNNNNNNNNNNNNNNNNNNNNNNNNNNNNNNNNNNNNNNNNNNNNNNNNNNNNNNNNNNNNNNNNNNNNNNNNNNNNNNNNNNNNNNNNNNNNNNNNNNNNNNNNNNNNNNNNNNNNNNNNNNNNNNNNNNNNNNNNNNNNNNNNNNNNNNNNNNNNNNNNNNNNNNNNNNNNNNNNNNNNNNNNNNNNNNNNNNNNNNNNNNNNNNNNNNNNNNNNNNNNNNNNNNNNNNNNNNNNNNNNNNNNNNNNNNNNNNNNNNNNNNNNNNNNNNNNNNNNNNNNNNNNNNNNNNNNNNNNNNNNNNNNNNNNNNNNNNNNNNNNNNNNNNNNNNNNNNNNNNNNNNNNNNNNNNNNNNNNNNNNNNNNNNNNNNNNNNNNNNUUACGCUUUCACUUUAAAUUUAAAACAUAUACACAAGGUGGUACUAUAUGUUUUAUGUGCCCAAACUUGUAGCUAAAAUUUCCUUAAAACGUUUCGGAGACUCUGUCACCUCCGUAGCCACCGGGAUAGGAGCGGCACAUCUAUAAGUAGCGAGAUCUGAGAGAACGCUGAACCACGCCGAUCGAACAUCGUGGACGCCAUCAUGGAUACGCGCGUGAGCUGCGCCGCCGAGCAGAGAAGGUCGAAUGGGGGACGGCUCCGGCGGGGCUCUCGUCGGCGAACUCGUCGGCCGUCCGGCUCUCCCCUCCGCCUCUGUCCCUCUCGGCCUCUCCUCCGCCUCCGGCGUCCCCGGCCCCCCUGUAGGUGCGUCUCCAUCCCAGCAUCUGAGCUCCCCUGUCCUCGUUGGCCAGCAGCCGUGAUGAGGCGCUCGUCGGUCGGCAGCCAUGGCGCCGCUGGGUGGAGAAGAUUGGCGGUGGCGUCAGAUCUUCCCGUCGUCCGGUUCAUCUCGUGCACCGUCACGUCCACCGCUUCGGCCCCGUCACGCGCGCGGCCGUGGUGUACAUGGCGCCCAUCCUCCCCGGCCCCCCGGGACCUCACCUGCCCCGCUCGGCCCGUCGACGACGACCACGUCCCACCUCGCGUCUAGCACCUCCCGCGGUAAGGAGGUCAGCACCAGCCGGCAACCCAACUUGCGCACCGUCCCCGUCGGGCGCCGGCACACCGGGCUCGACCUCGCGCGCCGCAGCACCGCCCACGCCUCCCCUGCCGGGUCGGGGUACCUUGAAACAUGGACGGCCGCCGAGCUGCUGGGGCCACGCCCAACGAGCAUGCCCCCCCGCGUCCUCGGCGCUGUCGGUGACGGAGGCGGUGGCAGCGCCCUGCCCGGAGUUGACCGCGGCGAGCGCGAGGAGCUGCGGCGAGAGGCCGAACACAAGCAGCCUGCUGGGCGCGCGCGCGGCCACGAUGGAGCGGAGCAGCGCGAACUCCUUGGCGUUGAGGCCGUCUGUGGACGAGAGGUGAAGAGCGAGGAGGUGGUGGUCUGGGACACAGCCAAGGUGCAUCCUGCGCAUCAAUCAGAGACGAAGGCCAGGUAUGUAUGCAAUUAAUUCAAAGAGAUUUACUGAUUUACUUUAAUGACUACUCAGGAAGUAUGUGACAGGGAUGUUUCUCCACUGACCCCUGGAUCAUGAACGCUAAUUACAGUUGCGGAUCUGCAUAUGUGUGACUGGGAUUUUAUGGCUGCUGCAUGGCAUUGGGCAAUAUGGUGGAAUUGUUGUGGGAUUUUGGAUGUCUUUGCGGGUUCACAGAGAUAGAUGUAGGUGAGUUUCUUCUGUGCUUAUGAUUGUGUUUGAUAAUGCCUCGUUCAAUGAGCGUGCCAUUCGACCAAUUGCGAUCGUUUCGUGGCUGAUGCGUUGCCACUUGGGCCUCAGCCUGUUUGUGUGAGAUGUUCCAGCCCCAGCGAGUGUUUCUGUAAUAAAAUGUAGAAGAUUAUGGUUAAUAGAUAGUCCCACAUCGUUUACUUGUAGACAGUCCCACCAAUUUAAAUGUGUUUGUGAGUUGACGACAACAAGUAGCAUCAAAGGAGUUGGUCAAAGAUGGAAUAAAUGGAGCGGGAGAUGCUACCUCAAGAAUCAAAGGAAUUAACAAAGAAAGAGAACAGAGGGAACUCAGGCGAUGUCAUGGCCCGAGCAGAGGCAGUGGUCGACUGUGGGAGGGCAAAAGAAUAGAGGGAACUCAGGCGAUGUCAUGGCCAGAACAGAGGUGGCGAUGGACUGUGGGAGGGUGGGCCGGCAGCGGGCAAACUUGGGCGGCGUUGGUUCACCGUCGAGGUCAGGGGAGGGAAGAAAAGGAAGGAGAGGAGGCGCGGAGGAGGAGCUCGCCGGCGGCAACGCCGUGCCAGAGGCGCGGGCAGCGGGGGAAGCGAGGAGAUCGGGGCAUGGGGGCUAGCGUGCCUGUAUGGCGGCGCAAGAGGGAAAGGAUCGAGAGAGAGAGGAGAGGAAUUUUAGGAUCGGUCUGCUCUAGGUUUUUUUUUAAGCAACUUCUGGUAGGGUAAGAGAAACAGGAGAUGGGCCUUUGCUAGACCAGCUAGGCAAGUGGGCCUCUCUCUCUCUCUUUGCUGUUUUUAUUUCUUUCUAAUUUAGAAUAAACAGAGAACUAAAAGAAGUGAGGAAAAUUCCCCUCGAGUUUUGAAGUGAGGAUAUUUGCCCUGGAUCAAUUUAAAUGUGCUUAAUCCAGGAACAUAUAGGAUUUGGUCAUGAUGGAGGAAUUUAAAUUUAAUUGAAAACAAAUAUACACGGAUCACUAUGCCUCAGAGCUAGCCGAAACGCGGUUCACUCGAUAGAAGAUGGGCAAGUUUGGUAAAAUGAUGAAUAUACACAAACAAAUACUCCCUUCAUCCCAAAAUUCUUGUCUUAGAUUUCUCUAGAUACGGAUGUAUGUAACACUAAAAUGUAACUAGAUACAUCCGUAUUUAUAGACAAAUCUAAGACAAGAAUUUUGGGACAGAGGGAGUAGUAGAUGGGCAAGUCGUGUACACAAGGAAAAACUCAUGAAUUUAUUUCCAUCACGGAAAAAUACUCCCAUGGUUCCCGCAAGCACAUCGGUUGAUUUCAAUUAGAAAAACACACCGUGUAUGUUGCUGCCAAAAAAAUAAAGAGGAAUAACCCAGUAUGGACUCGGCGGUGAGUGAUGCAAUGAGGAAGCACGCCAUGCUCCUCAGGUUAUUCCUCCAACGACACCUGAUAAACGCUAGCUUCAAGACGAUAGGAAUAGGAAUACUCUAGGACCAAUCUGUCGAGAAGCAUGGUCGGCGGUGAGUGGGAGCCAAGAUCACCAUGCCAUGCACACAUACCACCAUCCGCGUCAGCAGUUGCCACCGUCUACAAGCGUUUGUAAGAACAUGAACAUAUGUCCAUGGGGAUGGGAGCCGAGCCGAACACCCAUAUAAAAUUGUAUAAAACUCACGGGCACUCACAAAAUUGAUGUUUGGAGCAACGAUUUGAGUGUAUUUUCUCUUUUCUAAAUUUAAAAUUAGAUGCAAACAAUCAAAACAUCUUUAAAGAAUAGGUUCAAACAAUCAAAACAUGUAUGCUCUACAUGAAAAAAAAUAACUGCACAUUUGAGUUUUUGUUUUCUUUUUGCAAGAAACAGUCAUAUUUCGGGUACAAAGACCAAGGAAGACCAUGUAAAAAUACAACUACAUGUUAGAAAAUCCACACUAGAAGUAGAUACUCUGUAGCAAUCUCUAUAGUGGAAAACAAUGCAUGCCUCUGUAACUACUGUUGGCACUAUUAAACUUGAUUUGGGAAAUUAAGCUUUAGUAAUAUUUCAUAUUCAUGGUUUAUGCUAUUACUGCUUCUCUGCCGUGUUGAAAUGGUGGGCGUGUAUCUAUGUGGGCUCUUAAACCACUAUUUUCCUAAGAUUGAGUUUUUUUUCUUCCGUUGCAACGCACGGGCAUAUUUGCUAGUAAUAAUAAUAAUAAUAAUAAUAAUAAAGUACGGAUUGACUCCGUGGGUUCACCGUCACAACACGCUUCUUUCCGUGAAUUUACGCUUUCAGUUUUUUUCACCUAUAUUAUUUUCUACAUCCGAGGUGGUAUUAUUAGUAGUUAUAGAUUUGAGGUGGUACUAAAAAUUUGUCCAUCUAGAAUAAGCCGUACGUUGUCUAAGCAACGUUCAACUGGGCCGAUUUUGUUUCCGUGUAGCAAUGAGCCAGGCAAGUGGGCUUUGUACUGAAGUUUUUUAUGGGCUGUGAGCACGUGAGUGGACUUUUCAGAAUCAGGUGUAUACGAGCUUGUUGCUCAAAAAAAAGGUGUAUACGAGCUUGGAUAGAACUCAGAACCUCUCCUCCUGUCCCACCUCGCUUCUUUAGAUACAAUUCUACCGGUUCAUAUACUUAAGCAGUUUGGAGGAUCAACAAGAAGAAUUGGGUACCCAAGGAAAGGAGGCGAAAAAGAAUUAACCCAACAAGGAAACGAAGGAACACCGAGAAUGGAUCAAAAGGAGCAACUGUCCCUGAUUGUUGUGCCAGCUAAAGUAUUGACUUAUGAUGAUUUAGCUUAGCUUCAAUCAGUAAGUUGUUCUUAAUGCGCAAGAGAGUGGAGAGAGAGAGAUAGAGAGAGCACCGGGAAAGAGAGUGAGUCGAUGAUAAAAAAAAAGUCCAAAAUGCUACAAUGUGCAUGGGCCAUCGGAAUAGAUCGACCCGCGGCAACUAACUAACCCGGCAAAGAAAGGAAGACACCCUAUUUGUCAUGCGAGUUUUCUAAAAAGCCAUAAUCAGUGUUCUUCCAGCUUGGGCUAAACUUAUUAGUGUUUGUCCAGCUUGGGCUGAAAUUUUAAUCAGUCCAGCUAGCUCUUUCUACGUACUUGAUCCAGUGUACAGAUCAAUUAAGGCAUUUCCCUGAAUUAGCUUUGCAUGUACCGCAAAGUAAUUCUGUUGAUGUGUUUCUUCGUCCAAAAGUACCGACUGCUAGGGUCACACAUUAUGCUCGUCGAAACCUAUACUACGUGUUCAGGUGUGCGCCAACACUAACCCAACACGUACUACAACACCGACACCACCUUGUAAAAUUCGAGGACCCGGUGAAAUCAAGCAGACACCGCCAUGGAGCGGUGAUGUCGCAUGAAGUCCAUCAUGACUUGAUGCAUUGUGUAUGUGUGCUUCUACUCACCAAAAAAAGAUAGCUUGGCAUACUAGCUAGGAAGCCUCUCAGAAAAUUCAUCCAUUUGCCUGCUUCCAAAUCAUGUACACGUGUGUACAUUGUUGUGGCCAAAAGUAUCGACCAGCAAGUUUGUCCGGGAUAAAGGAUAGCCACGAUGAUGGUUGGAUGCCGUGUUAAAGAUAUACUUUUUCUCCCGUUGCAACGCACGGGCCCUUUUGCUAGUAUAGCUAAUGAGAAGAUCGCACAUGGUUUUAGGAACUUUCAGGAAGGUUCCAGCCCAGGUUUCUAAUGGUUUUCGGAAUCUUCUAGCAGGUUCCUGAACCGAUUUUUGGACUAGUUUUCUGGUUCCUUUUUUUAUUUUUCGUUUUCGUUUUCCUUUUCUUUUUCUAUUCUUUUUUUCCUUUUCUAUUUCUAUAUUUUUUUUCGUUUUUGUUUUCUUUUCUUUAUGAUUUUUUUUCAAAAUUUCAGAACUUUUCAAAAGUUGUUCAAGAACUUCAAAAAAAUGAUUUCAUCUCAAAGACCGUUCACAAUUUUCGGAAAAUUAUUCGCAAUUUGUUUUCAAAAAAUGUUAAUGUGUUCAAAUUUUGUUUGGGAGUUUCAAAAAAUGUUCCUAUUUCAAACUUUGUUCGCAAUUUUCAAGAUUUUUUUUAUAUUUUUCAAUUUUUGUCAGGAGUUUCAAAAAUUGUUCGCAAAUUUCAAAUAAUGUUUGUGUUUUAAUUUUUGCAGAGAGUUCCAAAAAAUGUACAUAAUUUUUAAAAAAUGUUUGUGUUUGCAAAAAAAUUUCAGGAGUUUAAAAAAAUGUUCCUAUUUUAAGAAAAAUGUUCGCUUAUCCAAAAUUUGUGUUUGGAAUUUGGAAAAUGUUUCAGUUUUCGAAAAAAAUCAUUUUCAAAACAUGUUCUAGUUCUCAAAAAGUGUUCAUGUUUCCAAAUAUUGUUCAUCUCAAAUUUGUUCUACAGAUUCAGAAAAUGUUCCUGUUUUAAUUUUUUUCGUGUUUCCAAAAUUGUUCAUGUUUUCGAUAGUUGUUCGCAAAUUUCAUAAAAUGUUUCUGUUUCCAAAAAUUGUUCAUGUUUUUAAAUUUGUUCUGCUGUUUCAAAAAAUUUGCGUGUGUUAAAUGUUUUUGGUUUUUCCAAAAUUGAUCCUGUUUUAGAAAUUGUUCGCGAAUUUCAUUAUUUUACCUUUUUCCAAUUUUUCUGGAAUUUCGAGCAAAAAUUUAAAACACGAAAAAAGGAAGAAAAAAAGGAUCUUCGUUGUUUUUGGUUCUUAUAAUGUUGCGCUACCAAUGUAAACAUUCGUUGUGAUAAUGUCUACUGGCUAGCACAGUCGGCUCUUUCACCAGAGGUCCCGGGCUCAAUCCCUACAGUACGCGAAAUCUUUUAGAGGUCAAUAGACUCGCGCUACAGUACCCAUUCCGCUGGUCGCUAGCUUGGGCCGGCCCAGUCAGGUAUGCGUCUGUGCGUGCGUCCGGCAAUUUGCCGCAAAGAGCGGCACAUAGGAGAGCGCGUCGUUGUGGUCGAGAUGGGAACAAGGGAGCUACAUGGGCUAGGUCUCAUGGUUUUGAUGGGCUUGGCCCAUGUGCGACUAUGCGGACGACGUGACGAAAGGAGGAUGAAACGAUGGGCGAAGCGAAGAGGCGUGGUCAGUCGGCAGCAAAAGAAGCCUUACUCUCUUUUUUAAGUAGUAGAGUUUUUAAGUAGUAGAGAUUUAUUUGGCAUUUAUUUGGAUAAGGAUAACCUUUAUCCAAAGAAAAACGAAACAAGUCAUAUAAUGACAUUAAUUGGAUAAGGAUAACCUUGAUGCCAACAUAUCUAUAUAAGGCGACUGAACGGUACCUCUCAUGACCACAAAAAUAUUCUGGUUGACAGAUUAUUCCAUAACUAUAUAUUUUCUAUUAUUCCGUGUUCUUAGGCAAUGGCGAACAGUGGCAUCUUCCAAGUGAUCAUUCUUUUUCUCAUGGCGCAAGUCUGCUUGCUCAUGAUGAUGGCAGCACCGGUAGCACAUGCAGCUGCUAGACCGGUGGGGUACAAUCCAGUGUGCUGUCCUAGGAACAUCUAUUGUUGCGGGUUCGGUAGCGGAUUGGCCAAUUCACCCGCACCAUCCAUUGUAUCUUGAUGUGUGGUUUUAUUCUCCCCCAAGUAGUAAGCUUGACAUAUAAAUGAUAUAUGUGAUUUAUGUGUUACCUAAUCCUGGAUAUUUGUGAUCCUAGUUUCAAAAAGUUAUUGUACUAGUUACUUACAUAAUAAAAUGGGAGGAGAUUAUUAUAUAUCUUGUUCGGAGUAUACCGCAAAGAGACUUAAUCUUAUGUUUACUUUAGCCCUUUUGAAAACUAGAUUUUUGCCGCAUUGAUUUAAGACAAAAAGAGAGUGGCUAGGCAUACAGGUUGACCUCAUGAGUCUGUAGUGCGUGCCUUUCGGAAUCUCUGUUUUAUCAUUCUGUUGGUCAUAUGUUGUGUCAAGAUCGUCCGUGUUAUGGUGACAUUCUUUAUUUUUCGCAGAGAUCAUACUUUUUUAAAGCAUUUAUUGGGUAAUGAAGUAUGUCACCAAUAAUUAGAAACCAGCUACUAUUGGCAGGCUUGUUUGUGCAUUCAGGGAUGCACACUAUUUCUUUU
rnacentral:lncRNA from 1 species